UUCUUGUUCCAGCUUUUUUAUCUUCACAACCGGGCUUUAAUUAACCAGUUCAGAGGGGAUGUAAUUUAACGUCAUACAAUUUGUUGCAACUCGAUUACCAGCAAAUAGAUUCACCCAUAGAUUUACCUUAGUGUAAACCUCGGGAGGGGAUGUUAUCCUAAUAUUUCCCCCUUAUUUUCUAGAUCUACACUUCGUACACUCGCUAGAUCAGUAUUCAAUGGAACAGUGUUUGACAGAACAAUAGGUGUUGAGCUAACACUCUCUAUUGAAGAUGAGUGGACGUCGCCUUGAGCAAUUUUUGGACUCCUAUGUAAAUUUUGAUGGUUGGAAUUCGAGGUACCUGCUUGGUCAUUGCUUCGCGAACCAGAAUUCACCUUCCUCAACAAACCGCUAUUCAUUGAUGCUUCGCUAGCCUGCAAACAAAGGUCCUUCAGCUGAGAUCCAGCAUGCUUGGAGCUUCCUGAGUUCCCAAAGUGAGUAAUUAGUUCCUUUCGUGGUGUCCCUCUUCGUCUCUGACCCACCAUAUUCACCCCGGCAUAUGAUAGCAACUCCUACGCCGAGAGGAGAGAAAAGAGAGGGUUUCCAUUUUUAUCUUUGAAUAAUUAGCAGUUUAUACAGAAAUUUAUUUGUUCAACCAAGCCUUUAGUAUGUAUUUGAAUAACUCACCGAAUUAGUGAGUUUUAUUAAAUAGAUUCUUGAAACAAGCUUGACAAUAAUUAUAUGAGUUAUUCAACUAUAAAAUAAGCAACUUAUUUAAGUUAUUCAAUUUCUAUUUUUAUUAUAUAAAACUCACUAAUUAUGUGAAUUAUUUAAAUAUAAAAUAUGUAACUUACUUCAUAAUUAGUGAGUUUUAUAAAAUAAAAAUAGAUUAAAAUAAGAAAAAUAGAUAUGUGAGUUUUAUAAAAUAAAAAAUACAUAACUCACAUAAUAUGUGAGUUUUGUAAAAUAAAAAUAGUAAAAUUAUAAAAAUAAAUAUAUAACUCACAAUUAUGUGAGUUUUAUAAAAAUAAGGACAACUUUUUUUUUUGAGUUUUACGCUAGACUUUAUACUACAUAUAAUUCACAUAAUAUGUGAGUUUUAUAGAAAUAAGAAGGAUAACAUUUUUUUUUUUUUGUGAAUUUUAUACUUUUCAUAAGAAAAAUAAAAUAUAACUCACAUAAUAUAUGAAUUAUAUAGAAAUAAAAAGAAUAACUCACAAAAAAAAAUGAAGUUCGUUAAAUUAAUUUUAAUAUCUUUUUGAAUAUAUAAUAUAUUUUAAUAUUUUAAAUAAGUAGGUGACCUACUUUGAUCGCCCCUCCCUUAAGGGGGUAUAUACAAUCUUUAAAACAAUGUGGAUAAUGUUCAAUUGGGACACCAACUUUAGUGCCAUAGACUGGACAUGAAUGAAAAGAAAGGGAAAUGACAUGUGAGUUGAGGCGGAAUGUGUAAUCUGGUGGUUGGAUUAUUCUGAUUUAGUCUUAGGCCAAAAUUAUCGGUGGCCUCCUAAAUUUGGCACGAACUUUUACUUACACACCUUAAGUGAACGUUGUUCACUUUUAACAUCUAAAGUAGCCACAAAGUGUGUCACUUUGACACUUUUGCUGAAUCAACAAAGAGAGUGUGUUGCACUCGCUGCCAACGUGGACAAAACGAUCAAUUGAUUUGUGCCAACUCAUUUAAAUUGCCACAUCAUUAUUUAUAUUCACAAUUAAUUUUUUUAAAAAAACAAAAGGCCAAAAUACAUGAUUAUUAAUAAUUAUCCAACUUAUUAAUAUAUAUACACACACAAUUAAAUUAAAGGAACCAAUUAAUUACUGACACGUGACAUUGUAAAAAAUAAUUAUAAAAUUAUCAACCCAACCCCCAUCCCACCCCACCCCACCACCCCCAAACUCCAAAGUCAUCUGCUCCACCACCACCCAUCCCCCCAGCACCCCACCCAAAGUCCAUCGACGAAAACCAUUUUUGCCAUUUUCUCAAUAUAUGGAUCAUUUUUGUCACUUUAUCAAAAACACCAUGAUAGUCUCAUUAAAUCCCAACAUAUGGAUUAUUUUUGCCAUUUUUUCAAAAAUCAGACAAGAAAAUGAAGGGAUACAGAUGUGUUAAGAAAAGAAAAAAAAUGAUGGAAAAUUAAUGGUUGAAAGAGAGAAGAAGAAAAAGUAGAAAAAGAAGAAGAAAAAAUCUACAAUCUGCACCAACUUGCAUUCUUUCAAAUUAUUAAAAAUUAAUUGUAUUAAGAAAACAAAAUGGUGGAAAACUAAUGAAUGGAGGUGGGGGAGGGUGGGAGGAGACGAUUUUGGGGUAGGGGUGACAACAACGAUUUGGGGGUGGGGUGGACAGACGAUUUGGGGAUGGGGUUAUUAAUUUUUUUAAUUUAAAUUAAUUAUAUAAAAAUUAUUUUUAUAAAAAUGCCGAAUGUCCUUUUAUAAUUGGUUCAUUUAUAUAUUAUAUACCCUAAAACGCGUCGGGCAGCGAGUGCAACACACUCUCUUUGCUGAUUCAGCAAAAUAUGUCAAAGUGACACACUUUGUGGCUACUUGAGGUGUUAAAAGUGAACAACGUUCACUUGAGAACAACAUUCACUUGAGAUGCAUAAAUGAAAAUUCGUGCCAAAUUUAGGAGGCUACCGAUGGAUUUGGCCUUAGUCUUAUGUAUAUUUAGCACUCAUAGAUAGUUAUGCAUGUCUAGUAAUGCAUAGAUUUAGAUGAGUUAUGCAUGCCUGGUAAUGCAUAGAUUCGUCAUCAUGAAAUUUAUGUGUUAUAUUAUUGAGGUAUUUGUUAUGUAAGAUUUACUUAUUCAUCUAUUAGUUAUUUAUGUAUAUUUAUUUCACCUUCUAUCUUACAUAAAUAAUAUUACAGAUUUUCUCAUAAUUUAUGUAUAUAUAUUAGUUAUGUAUAUUUUUAUAUUACAUAUCAAACACCGUAUUAAUUUUAUAUAUGAAUAACUUACUUUCUAAUCAAUUCCCUAACAUGAUAUUGUUUAUGCAAGAUUUAACAGUAUCAUAGAUCACCUUCAAAUUAGCUACCAAAUGCCUCCUUAAGGAUCGAUUGGUUCCCAAACUAAAAUAUAUUGAGAUUAUAAUUCUUAUCCUAAUUUAUCACCUCACCUAGGAGGUGGAAUAAAAUAAUAAUGCCAAAUUAAACGGGAUAUUCAGGAUUAAGAAUUUCAUGAAAAAUUAAUACAUUCAAUCAUACAAAGCUCAUCUAUGCCAUAUGUUAAAAAUUGAGUUCAUUUAUAUUAGUUAUUCAACAAAAGUCUAUUUGUACCAUUAUUUCUUAACAAAAAACAUGAAUAAUUUUGCAAUACUGUCAUCAAAAUUAAACCACCCCAUUCUUUUAUCCCAUUUGAAAUUAAUUCUAUAAAAAUCCCCAUUCUAUUAACGAGUGGCGACGAAAAUAAGCCACCUACUUAAAAUAAGUAUUAAAAUAUGCCAUGUAUUUAAAGUAAUACCAAAAUAGGCUUAACUCACAAAAAAAUGAGUUAUACCUUUUUCUGUUAAUGAAAAGUUGAAUGACGGAGUUUAGUUUUAUAAAAAGUGUAAAACUUACUUUUUUUUUUUUUGAGUUAUCCUUCUUAUUUAUAUAUAACUCACAAAAAAGUGAGUUAUAUUUAUGAAAAGUAUAAGAUUCACAAAAACAGUCAGUUAUAUAUUAAAUGUAAAAGCUUUACCUUUCAUGGAUCCUUUACUUUUAUCCAGCCGAUUUACCUCUAAAACCAUACAAAAUCCACAUCGAUUCCCCACAGAUCUCCCCUCCCCAACACAAAUUUUGUUGAUUCCUAAUCGUUGGUCCUACAUUAUUAUUGUUCCGUGCUUGAAAAUUGAAAAAUUAUUACGAUACAAUUGAGGUAUUUUUUGGAUUCUUCAUUUUUUUAAAAAAAAUUAUUGAUUUAUGGCUAUAAUACUCAAAUUUCCUAUUACGAGCUCAGUUGGCCAAUUCUUCGUAAUUGUUUGGCUUGAUUCCUUGAUUCUUAGUGAUCUACCUUAUAAGAAAUCUCAAUUAUUAGUGUGUACACCUAAUAUGCGUAGUAGUCCCUACCUUAUAAUGUACCAAUUGUCUACAAAAUUUAUUUUAUAUUUUGACUUGCAUUAAGAAUUUUAUUUUGUUGGCAAUCCUACUCAUGUCACAUGUAUGAUAAAUUAAAAUUAUGAAACUUAAUCGUUAACUUAUACUUGAUGUACGAAUGUCGAUCUCAUUAGGUUAGGUAAUUGUAUAUCAUAUAUUUAUUUCUGAUACAUAUAAAAAAAAUUCUUAAUGCAAAUCAAAAUAUAAAAUAAAUUUUGUAGAUAAUUUUUGGUACGUUAUAAGGUAGGGGCAACUACGCAUUUUAGGCGUACACACUAAUAAUUAGGAUUUCUUGUAAGGUAGAUCACUAGGAAUCAAAGAAUCAAGCCACACAGUUACAAAGAAUUGGCCAAAUGAGCUCAUAACAUGAAAUUUGAGUAUUAUAAGCCAUAAAUCAACAAUUUUUUAAAAAAUAAAAAUAAAAAAAUACCUCAAUUGAACCGUAAUAAUUUUUCAAUUUUUCUAGCACGGAACAACAAUAAUGUAGGACCAACGAUUAGGAAUCAAUAAAAUUUGUGUUGUGGGAGAAGGGAGAGGGAGGAGACCUGUGGGAAAUCGAUGUGGAUUUUGUAGGAUUUUGGAGGUGAAUCGGAUGGAUAAAGGUAAAGGAUCCAUGAAAGGGAAAAUUUUAUAUUCAAUGUAUAACUCACUAUUUUUGUGAGUCUUACACUUUUCAUAAAUAUAACUCACCUUUUUUCUGAGUUAUAUAUAAAUAAGAAGGAUAACUCACAAAAAAGUGAGUUUUAUACUUUUUAUAAAACUUAACCCUGUCAUUCAAUUUUUCGUUAAUAGAGAAAGGUAUAAUUCACUUUUUUGAGAGUUAAGUUUAUUUUGAUACUAUUUUAAAUAUGUAAUAUGUUUUGGUACUUAUUUUAAGUAGAUGACCUAUUUUAAUCACCCGUAUUUGCAAGAUAUCACCUUUUCAAACGGUAAUAUGAUUUUUUUACGCCAUUCCUCAUCAUUGGGAAUAGAAAAUAAAGUAAACAACUUUCAUUUGUGUUUCUCAUCCUUUUUUAAUGUAGUAUUUAGUCAUCAAUUAUAUAGUAUAUAUGAUCAAUUUGCAGAAAAUAGCAAAUAUCACACGAGUGGAUCGAAAGGCCUAAGUUGUUGAUAAACUUUGGUGACCAAAUAGGAUUCAAAUUUACUACAUGAUACAUGUCCUCUAACUCGAUUUUCAUUAAAUUUUAUGUUCUCCUAUGUUAGUUGAUACAAUACAAAGAUCACAACAAUGGAAUUUGGGAAAGAAGAUUCUAAAAGUGACAAGAGAAGAGGGAAAGNNNNNNNNNNNNNNNNNNNNNNNNNNNNNNNNNNNNNNNNNNNNNNNNNNNNNNNNNNNNNNNNNNNNNNNNNNNNNNNNNNNNNNNNNNNNNNNNNNNNNNNNNNNNNNNNNNNNNNNNNNNNNNNNNNNNNNNNNNNNNNNNNNNNNNNNNNNNNNGAAAGAGUAGAAUGAAAUGUGUAAGACAUGAAUUUAUUCCUCAAUGUAACAGAAUGUCAGUGAAUAUAUAUGGAAGUGAGAGUCAGUUAGUGCUAACCAUCAUUGCCACGUGAACUAACUACUCCUCACAGCUUGUUAACUAACUUGGAAUAAUUAAGUUAUUCUCUACUAGAACAUGUAUACAGAUAGUUGACAGUCAACUAACAACUAUAUGAUCCCUUUCUCAACACUCCCCCUCAAGUUAGGUGGUGCAAAGAUAUCUAACACUCCUAGAUUAAAGUUUAAGUAGUCAUGCUGAACUUUUCCCAAGCCUUUAGUUAGAAGGUUAGCCAACUGUUCAGAAGAAUGUACAUAUUUAUUUUUAACCAGUCCUUGAGUAACUUUUUACCUGAUAAAGUGACAAUCUAUAUCUAUGUGUUUUGUUCUCUUAUGAAACAUUGUAUUUGCAACUAUUUGAGUUGUUGAUUUACUGUCACUAUAGAGUGUAACCGGUAAACUCACUUCAUAAUCAACCUCCUUCAAUAGUCCUUCUAUCCAUAUAAUUUCUGCAAUGUUGAAAGCCAUACUUUUAUAUUCAGCUUUUGCAGAGCUUCUGGACACUGUACUUUGCUUAUUUUACUUCCAUGAUAUUUAUGAAUCUCCCAACUUAACACAAAAGCCUGUUAUUGACUUUCUAGAAUUUGGGCAAGUAACCCAAUCAACAUCACAAUAGGUAGUUAAAACCUUUUUCUUGUUGCUGGAUAAUAGCACUCCCUGACCAGGAUGAUUCUUAACAUACCUUACUAUUCUUAAGGCGGCUUCCAUAUAUGACCUUUUUGGUUGAGCCAAAAACCAGUUUAGUGUUUGAACCCUAUAAGCUAUAUUAGGUUUUGGUUAUUGUUCGGUAUAAUAGUUUGUCAAUUAAUCUCUGAUAUUCCCCUAUAUCUGGCAAUAACUCAUCAUCUGUAGUCCCUGCCACUUUGACAUGAGUGUCAAACUCAUGAGUUAUUAAUUUUCUAUUCACUUCAAGAGGUGUACCAAUAGGUUUAGCUACACCCAUUCCAAGUUUAGAGAUCAGUUUUAAAUUGUACUUUCUUUGAUGCAUUAAUAUCCCUUUGUUUGAUUUGACAAAUUCAAUGCCCAAGAAAUAUCUCAAGUCUCCCAAGUCUUUCAUCUUGAAAGUCCUUUGUAAUUCAGGCUUUGUCCCCUUAAUCAGCUCUAGAUUGCUGUCUGUGAUCAGUAGAUCAUCAACAUAUACUAAUAUCAUCACAAUAUCAUUGUUUACCUUCUUUAUGGAGAGUGAGUAGUCAUAGUGGCUUUGUUUGAAACCCAUAGUCAUUAGUGCAUCGGUAGGUUUAGAAUUCCAUUACCUUGGGGCUUGCUUAAGUCCAUUUAAGGACUUGAGUAAUCUGUAGACAUGUCUCUUUUCCCCCUAAAUCUGGAAGCCCUGAGGCAACUUCAUGUAGAUCUCAUCAAACAAGUCUCCUUGCAAGAAUACAUUGUACACAUCCAUUUGAUAGAAGUGUCAAUACUGAGAAAUAGUUAUAGACAAGAUAGUCCUGAAAGUGACUAUUUUUACUACUGGGGGAAAAUAUUUCCUGGUAGUUAAUCCCCUCUUGUUGACUAAAGCCUUUGGCUACAAGCCUGACUUUGAAUCUCUCAAUGUCACUAUUGGCAUGGUAUUUUUCUUUGUAGAUCCAUUUGCAACCAAUAGGAUGCUUGUCAUCAGGAAGAAGAACUAUCUUCCAUAUGUUGUUAGCCUCUAAAGCAACAAUUUCUUGCUACAUAGUUGUAACCCACCUAGGGUAUGUACAAGCUUUAGCAAAUGUAGAUGGUUUAACAAUAGAAGUUCCAACAAGAAAAUCCUAAUAAUAUCUGGACAAAUGAUCAUAAUAGAGCACAAUAUCUAAAGGAUAAGUGACUGUCUUGUGAUCAGCAAAAGAAAUAAAGUCCUUCAUCCACAAGAGUACAUUUCUAUCCCUAGUGGAUCUUCUAUUAGUAGUAGGCAUUAUAGUAGAAAAGGAAAGAACCACAGGGGUAGGUAUUGUAGAAGAUGGUACAACAAGGAUCAAAGUACUAGGAGGAUCAAGUGAGGUAGUAUCAUCAAGUAAAAGAGUAGAUGUAGGUGUAUGGUCAGGUAAAUCAUUAAGUGCAGCAGGUGAAGUAGUAUUAUUAGGUAAAGUAGAGGUUACAAGAGUAUGAUGAAACACAUCAUGGGAGAAAAUAUCAGUUUCAGAGAAUAUAAGAGGAUUAUGGGAGUGUAACUAUUGAAAAGGGAAAACAUUCACUGUAAUACCCCAGAUUUUCUUUAAGUCGAGUUUCAUCUUUAAGAAGAGUAAGGGCUGACUUCUCAAGUGAGAAAUAUUUUAAACCAUGUAUAAUUUCCUUAAUAUCGACUAUUUUUCAUGUAGAGAAUUCAAUUAGAUUUCCAAUGAUACCAAUUUCAUCCAAAUUCGGUAUCGGAGUGAGAAGUUAUGGCUAUUUUACUGAGAGUUGUCGGAACCGCCCAGGUGCGACGGACAGGUUGAUGAACCAUCGAGUUUGCUACGGACCGUCGCCCCGACCAUCGCAACCAAGGCAGUGACUCCCUCUUCUGGCAUAAAUGCGAUGGCCAAGAUGACGGACCGUCAAGCUAGCGACGAAUACCGUUGCAACUAAGGCAGUGUGGCCUUUUUCUGACCAACAUACGAUGGACGAUUCGAUGGACCAUCAGACUAGCGACGGACCAUCACUCCGAUUGUCGUAAAUCCCGUUCAUUAUUUUUAAGUCAUUUUAAAAGGACUUUUUGGCCUUUUUCCCCUUUUAACACUUAGAUAAAUUCAAAACGAAGCAUAUGACUUCAUUAUCUCCCAAAACAUCCAAAGGCUAGGGUUUUUUCCUCAAGAACAAACUCAAAACCCUUCUCCAAGAAAUUCAAGAACUCAUCAUGGAUUCUACAAAUUGAGUUGAUAUUUGAGUUCCCCAAAUCCAAGGCUUCAAGAACCCUCUCUUAAAGAGUAAGAAGAAGAGUUUCAAGCAAGCUUGUUCAUGUAGUUUCACAAUCUAAGGUAUGUGGGGUUUGAACAAGGACACUCCUUUCGUUCUUGUGCCCAAAAGUUGUUUUAAUUACAAAGAUAUAUGGUUUUACAUGUUUUCUUAUGAAAUUGAAGUAUGGGUUUAACCCUAUGUUAUUAUUUCUUGAGAUUAUGAUAUUUCCCAUUUUUUAGAAAUUAAAUUAUAUAAGUAUGUUGAUGUUAUAAUGCAAAUUGCUGAACAUUCCAGAUUUUUAUAUGAUUUGUGUAUCCUUAUGACAUCUAGUAUGUAUUUUGAUGUGUCUUAAAUUGAGAUUUAAUUAUGGGUCAUUAAACCCUACUUGAGAUUUCAGUUUUUAUGAACUUUUGUGCUAUAAGCACCCAUGAUUUGAGUAUUUUGAGAUCAUUGAGAAAGUUUUGACCUUAAUGGUCAUAGUAUCUUUGAAAUCCACUUUACCAAAUAAUACUAUAGAUUUUAUAGUUGGGUUCUUAUGAACCAUGAGAUUAUUUUAAAGUGGAUUUCCAUGAGAUGAGCGUAGCUAACUAAAGGGAGUAGUAUUUAGCACCGAGUUGGGUAAGUUACUAUGGUUUCAUGCUCAAGAACUACGUGCCACCGUAGAAUUGAGAUUUAUGGGUCCGAGGCCGAGAUAAGUGAUCACUGAGUUGAGGUUAUACUCCCUGGAAAGAGUAUGAUGCCUUUCUCCAACGUGAGGUUUAUUCCUUAAGAGGACAAGACGUUGGACUCCAUGUAGCUCGCAUGGUUUAUGUCAGUUGAGAGAACCUUCCUAAGAUAUUUUCCCUUGAUGUAGAAUAUUUUCCUUAAAGCUUUGAGAUAAGUGAUUUUCCCUAAUAGUAAGAUUUCAAAAUAGUUUCUUGAAGUACAAUUUUCCCAAGAAGAAAGUAGUUUUCUCUACUAGUAAGAGUUAUAGAAUUCUGAGUUCCAAGUGUCUUGAGUUUAAAAGAGUUCUAAGUUCUUGACCAUUAAAGAAGUUUUACUCACCAUGAGAUAUAUGCAUGAGUUGGAAAGUAUUGUUUAAAGCUUUCUUUAGUCUUCGAGUAAUGAGAAUAAGAGAAGAGUUCAGAUUUUAAAGCUAAAGUAUAAUGACUCACGAGAUUUGUGUUACAUGCUUCAUUCUACAUGAUUUAUGAGCUUAUUAUAUUAGACUUAUUCAAGUAAUGUGAGUCAUUCAUAUUUGAAUGUAUGAUUUGAUUAAAGACCAUGGAUAUUAUUUUAUGUACAUGCGUACGCCCCUAUAUACUCAGUACAUUCUCAAGUUCUAAUCCACAUAUAUGUUUAUGUGCUACAUUGUCUUAUAAUGUAGGUUCAGGUGCUUAGUCCCAGUCUCAUCAGUGAUUUUCGAGUACCUUUGUCUACAUCUCUACAGCGGUGAGUCCUCAUGGUUUGAGGACCUAUCUUCAGACAUUCCAGUAUUAUUAGUAGACAUAUUAUUGCUUUCAGUUCAGUUUGAGUUAGUUGGGGACCUACCCCAAUGGCUCUCUAGUAGACUUGAGUAGUAGAGGCUUUGUUAGACUAAUUAUCAGAUUGUUAGUAUGUUGAGAUUUCCAGUUUUGUAGUCAUUUGGACUGAGUAUUUUCUUUGUAUUUUCUAUCAUUUGAUAUAAGUACCAGUGUUUUGUUUAUUUCAUCUCGAAUUGAGUUAUUAUAUGUAGUAAAGGCUCAAAGUGUUAGUUUGGGGCUACUUGUAGUCUUAAGCACCGUGUGACGUUCUGAGAAGAGAUUUUGGGGCGUUACAUUUACUCAAAAGGAAACAUCCCUACUAACAAAGAAGACAUGAUUAGUCAAGUGAUAAAGAAUAUAGAACUUUUAUGUAUUUGAGUAUCUUAUCAGUAUAGAAGGUUGAGAUCUAGUAGCAAACUUGUCUUUUGGAGAGGGAACCUUGGCAUAACACAAGCACCCCAGAACCUUCAAGUGAUGAAUAUAAGGCUUUUUGUUAUGUAAAAGCUCAAAAGGUGAUUGGUUUCCUAGGCUAGAAGAAGGCAUUCUGCUGAUAAUGUAAGCAGCUAUAAGAACACAGUGACCCCAGAAUUUAAUAUAAAUAUGAACUUGAAAUCUUAUAACCCUUGAUACCUCCAUUAAGUGUCUAUGUUUUCUUUUAGCCACACCAUUCUGUUGAGGGGUAUAGGGACAAGAAGUUUGAUGCAUAAUGCCUAACUUAGUGAAUAAAGAGAUCCAAACUAUAUUGAUAAACCCUAUCCCAUUAUCAAAUCUAAGUAUCUUCACUCCUGAGUCUGAGUUAAACUAGGUUCUAACAUAAGGAAGAAACUAUUUAAGGACUACACAAACAACUAAUUUCAAUUUCAACAAAAAAAUCUAAGUCAUUCUUGAGAAAUCAUCAACAAGGGUCAAAAAGUAUUUAUUACCAUCAUAUGUUGCAGUGUUAUAUGGACCCCAUACAUUAGUAUAAAUCAUGCUAAAACAAGAACUAGUUGUGGUAGUACUAAAGGGGAAAGGUAAUUUUGUCUAUCUAGGUAGAGGACACACAACAUAUUGAUUUAUAGAAGUGACACACUUAUCAUGGGAAGCUGAAAAUAAUUGUCUAAGAACAUAGGAGGACACAUGACCAAGCCUUUAGUGACAUAGCCUAAUAUCAAUAGUGCCUUGACUUGGGGUAUGCAGAUGCACAUUCUCAUUCAUCACAGUUGCACCAUUAUUGCUUUAUGAACAUCCUCACUCUCUUCUGACAUAAAAUGAUAUAAGUCAUCCCUCAAUCUACCAAUCUCCCUCACCUUUUCAAUGAAAAGAUCCUAAAAGAGGCAGAAAUCAGGGAAAAAUAACACAUAACAACCCAAAUCUCUAGUUAAUUGAGCAACUAACAUCAGAUUAUGCUUGAAUUGAAGGACAUGAAGAACAUUGGUGAUAAUGCACCUAGAGCAGAUUGGAGUGGAGCCAAUAUAAGAGACUGGGAAAUAUUACCAUUUGGAAAAUACACUUGCCUAGCUGUAGAUGGUGGUACUUUAAUAAUAUUUUUCAACAUGAUAAGGUCAGACACCAUAUGAUUUGUUGUCCCUGUGUCAAUAAUCCAGUCUGGCUUAGUAGAAUUUGAUUGGAAUGCAUUGAUAAUACCUAUCAAAUUGGCAGAUGUUGCUAGUGAAGGAGUGGAUUUGUUCAACAUAUGUAUAAUUUGGUCAUACUGGUCUUUAGUAAAUGUGCAACUCAGCUGUUAGUUGGAUUAAUAUUCAUAGAAGCAGGACAUCCCGAAGCCAUAUUUUUUUCCUGUGGAUGCAGAAUGAGUUAAAAGUUGGGAUUUUCAAUCUUAGAUUUAGCAGUGAAAGACUAACCACCUGAGGCAAAACUAUACCAGUUCCCCCUUUCUUAUUGAACUUGUAAUCUACAGGAUAACCAACAACUCUAUAGUAAGUUUCCUUAGUAUGACCUCUACCCUUGCAAACAUCACACUGUAGUGGAAAAUACUUCCUAUACUUCUGAUAACCCCUAUGAGAUCCUAAACUUUUAUUCGAGUACAAAGCAGUAAAUAAGGCAGUGGUCUCAGGAGUAGGUCCCGGGACACUAGAACUAGUGGAGACAACCAUGUGGAUUUCAUCACUAAUAAACAUAGCAUAGGCUUGAUUAAUAUUUGGUAGAGGUAUCAUCAUGAUUAUCUGACUUCUAUCUUGUAUAUGUGACUUAUUAAGCCUCACUAAGUAUUGAUAAAGUUUUUAUCAUUGCAUGUGAGAAACAAAAUCUUUAGAUUUGUCACAAUCACAUCCAGGUACUGUGUUAGGGAUUCAAGUUCAUCCCAUAAGUCCUUCAAUUUAGAAUAAUAUGUGGAGAUAGAAGACAUAUCUUGACUGAGAGUUGCAAUCUCUCUGUGUAGAUUAAAAGAUCUACAACAAUCAAUUUUGUCAAACUUUUCACGAAGAUAUUCCUCUGUGAGCACUAAAACUAUAUGCAAUGCCACUGAUUAAAUUUGAAGCUCCUGAAUUCAUCAAUCAGGACAAAACGAUUACAUUGCAUCGCUCCCACUAAUGACAAUAAUUCUUAUUGAAUUUUCCCUUCUUUCACUCUCCAUCAAAAAUUCCAAGUUUGUUUCGACCUAAUAUUGCAAUGCAUAUCGAUCGAUUCCACAAUGCAUAGUGGUUUGAGCCUGUCAGUUGGAAUGAAAUGAGGGAUAUACUACUGGUAUCAAUUGGGAACAAGUACAGAGGUUGAUUGGCUUCAACUGUGGCUCCUAGCUAAAUUGUAGUGGAAGCCAUUGAUACAAUUUACACAGUUGAAAUUGAGCAGGGUGAGAUGAACAAAUAAAGGAGAAACGAAGAAUAGAGGGUUGAUCUAUGAACGGAGUUUCAAGCUCAAUGGCCCUGAUACCAUGUUAGUUGAUACAAUACAGAGAUCACAACAAUGAAAUUUGGAAAAAAAUAUUCUAGAAGUAAGAAGAGAAGAGGUAAAGAGUGGAAUGAAAUGGGUAAGAUAUGAUCUUAUUCCUCAAUGUAACAGUACUUCAGUGAAUAUAUAUAGAAGUUAGAGUCAGUUAGUGCUAAUCACCACUGCCACGUGAACUAAGUACUCUUCACAGCUUGUUAACUAACUUGGAAUAAUUAAGUUAAGUUAUUCUCUGCUAGAGCAUGUAUACAGAUAGUUGACAGUUAGCUAACAGCUACCUGACCCCUUUCUCAACAUCCUACUUUGAGUGUGAAUAACUAGAUACUUAGGAAUUAUUUGGUUGAAAACAAGUUAUCUCAAAAUUAGCUAUCUCGAAAUAAGUUUCAUCAAUAUGUAUAUAGAAUAACUUAUCCCAUCACUAUGAUAUAAAUGGUGGGAUAAAUAAUUGUUGGACUAACUAAUACCUCCAAUAAAAUACAGGAUAAAAUAAUCCUGAAUUUUAUUCUAAUAUUAUUCUAUCUUAUACCUUACACCAGAUGACUCCUUAGACUUAAAUAAAGUUGAACAAGUGUAGAUGCACAUGUCUUAUGUGGUGUUUUAUGUCGCGAUUCAUGUGAGACGCUACAUAGAACGCGUGUGUCUUCUUGUUCAAUUUUGUACGAGUUUAAGUGUCCACAUGUGCAUACCUAAAGUUGGAGGACAAAGAUGCUAGAUGAGCCCAAGUUAAAGUCACGAUAUGUAUUAUGACAUCCUUUAUAAAGUGUCAAUUUUUGUUUUAAGUUAUCAAUUAAACCUACUAAAUAAAGUUAUAAUUAUUAUUACUUUUAAGUAAUUUGAUGAUAUGAUGUAAAAAAGAAUUUUGUUAGUCCAUAAAACUUAACCUCGACCAAAUAUAAUACUACACGGAUAUAACUUUAAUGUCAAAAUUCGCAAACUAAUGAGGUUUAAUUGCAUUAUAUAGACAAUACUGUUCCUAAAUCCUACUUUGUUUGGGUAGCUAUAGCCAUUAAUUAUGUAAUUAAAUAUUUAGUGAAUGAUGAGAAACAAAAAUGUUUUGAUUGCUGAUACCUAGACCAAGAGACAACGAUGAAAAAUAAUACUUUACAAAAAGAAAUAGAAAUAAAGAAAAGUAAUAAUUUAUCUAGUCUUAAUUUGGAAUGGAGUUUAAGAGAUUAAAGAGAUUUUUGGAUCUUAAAUUCUUAAAAUAAAGAUAGAGUGUUGUAAAAUGUUUUUCUCAUUUUUAUGGACUUAAAUAUGUUGCCUCAAAAGUUAGUUUUAAAGAGUUGUCAAAAAAGAAAAAAGUAUUUUUUUCCAAAUACUCUUAAAAAAAAAGAAAGACAAACAAUUUGAAAGGGAAAGACCGAAAGAGUGGAAAGUAUCUCUUUCUUUCUUAACUAGAGGUCUCAAGUUUGAGUCUUUCUGAGUACGUAGUUGCCUUUGAUAGAGAACGUUUUAUCUCAAUACAAGACUUUUCGACACGAAUUCAUAUUUAAUUAGGUUUCAAUUUGUAGGGGGGUGCGCGGAUUUAAUAGAUUUAUUAGGGUAAUAGAUCUAUUUUUAUUUUUGCGUGGAUAUUUUUUAAAUUUUGUUUCAGUAUCUUUUAAUGAUUUACUUUUUUCGUAAGAUAUAUUCAUUAAUUAUUUUAUCCUGUAGUAAUUGCAGAGUUACAAAUUUCUGUAUAAUAAUUUAUCCUAUCUGUGCUAUAAUGUAUAUCUAAUUCUAGAUUUUCAAUGUUAUUUAUUAUCUUGUGUUGUUCUUCUCGGAGUGAGUUUUUUAAAUUAUAUAAACUAUCACAUGUACUUUUAUCUAAAUUUUCUAAAGUUUUUUCUAUCCAUAUUAAUUUUUCUUUUAGGUUUUCCAUUAUUUUUCUAAUUCGGUUUCUAUAAUUAAUUUCAUUAUUUAGAUUUUCUUGAUUUUCUCUAGUUUGUCUAAUAUAUUCUAACAUUUUUUAAUCUGAAUAAUAUCCUUCUGGGUAAAUUUCUUCAUAUAACUGUUCUAGACAAUUUGUAGUUUCAAUUUCAUAGUUUAUUACUUCUUCUAAUAUUAUUUUCUUAAUAUCUAUAAUUUCUAUGUUUUUAAGUAUAUAUAAUAUUAAAACUUUAAGAUAAUCUAAAUGAUCUAUCUUUUAAAAUUGGUUUUAUUAUAAUAUUUUGUAGUUGUUUGUUUUAGCCUUAGUAGUUUUUGCAUAUUUUUAUUAAGAAAUUCUAUGUAUUUUAUAUCUUUAUUUUCCAUGUAUUUGUCUAUAUUUAUUUUUAUCUGUUUUUCUAGUAACUGCAUAUUUUUUNNNNNNNNNNNNNNNNNNNNNNNNNNNNNNNNNNNNNNNNNNNNNNNNNNNNNNNNNNNNNNNNNNNNNNNNNNNNNNNNNNNNNNNNNNNNNNNNNNNNNNNNNNNNNNNNNNNNNNNNNNNNNNNNNNNNNNNNNNNNNNNNNNNNNNNNNNNNNNNNNNNNNNNNNNNNNNNNNNNNNNNNNNNNNNNNNNNNNNNNNNNNNNNNNNNNNNNNNNNNNNNNNNNNNNNNNNNNNNNNNNNNNNNNNNNNNNNNNNNNNNNNNNNNNNNNNNNNNNNNNNNNNNNNNNNNNNNNNNNNNNNNNNNNNNNNNNNNNNNNNNNNNNNNNNNNNNNNNNNNNNNNNNNNNNNNNNNNNNNNNNNNNNNNNNNNNNNNNNNNNNNNNNNNNNNNNNNNNNNNNNNNNNNNNNNNNNNNNNNNNNNNNNNNNNNNNNNNNNNNNNNNNNNNNNNNNNNNNNNNNNNNNNNNNNNNNNNNNNNNNNNNNNNNNNNNNNNNNNNNNNNNNNNNNNNNNNNNNNNNNNNNNNNNNNNNNNNNNNNNNNNNNNNNNNNNNNNNNNNNNNNNNNNNNNNNNNNNNNNNNNNNNNNNNNNNNNNNNNNNNNNNNNNNNNNNNNNNNNNNNNNNNNNNNNNNNNNNNNNNNNNNNNNNNNNNNNNNNNNNNNNNNNNNNNNNNNNNNNNNNNNNNNNNNNNNNNNNNNNNNNNNNNNNNNNNNNNNNNNNNNNNNNNNNNNNNNNNNNNNNNNNNNNNNNNNNNNNNNNNNNNNNNNNNNNNNNNNNNNNNNNNNNNNNNNNNNNNNNNNNNNNNNNNNNNNNNNNNNNNNNNNNNNNNNNNNNNNNNNNNNNNNNNNNNNNNNNNNNNNNNNNNNNNNNNNNNNNNNNNNNNNNNNNNNNNNNNNNNNNNNNNNNNNNNNNNNNNNNNNNNNNNNNNNNNNNNNNNNNNNNNNNNNNNNNNNNNNNNNNNNNNNNNNNNNNNNNNNNNNNNNNNNNNNNNNNNNNCUUGAACAUUGGUGGUCUGGAUAUUUAUGUCCGAUUAUCUUACAGUAUCUUGUUAGCAGUCCGUCUGAAAUAAAUCCCUUUUUCAUUGCUCGCGCGGUAGAUUUUUUUUUCUGGGUUAAGUAGCGUCAGUAUCCAUUGUCUUACGUCUUCCAUAUCUGCUUGUCGUAGCUCUUUUGAAUUUGAAUAUAUCAUUUGGUGAUCUCUUGAAUAGUAGCUCCAUAUUGGGUUUCCGUUAGCAUAGUUAUUUGCUAGUUCUUGAAUGAUCGUAGCUAGUCCAAUAAGUCUUUUAUUUGCAUAAAAAUCUGGUAUCUCGAUUCUAGGUAUCUCCGGUUGUUGCGAAAUAUCUUCUGGUAUAAUCAUAUCUCUUGUUAAUCCUAUCUUUACAACUUGUAUAACUGGUUUUAUUUCGUCAUAUAAUAUCUCUGCUGGUGCAGUAUAACACUUUAUAUAAAAUAAAUUUCCUUUUGUUAUUCUUUUGUAGGUAGUGAAUAUCUUGUAUAAUUCCUCCAUAGCUGUUAGCUCUUCUCCGUCUUGGGUGUAUAUGGUAUUUAGUAGUCCAUAGUCAAAACAAGUUUUAACUAGGCUUGGGUUAGUUUUGGGUAGUGCUAUCAGUUUAUUGUAUCCUUGUAGUUUUUGGGUUAUAUAAUUGGUAUUUGGUUCUUGGAUAUUUGUAGCUCUGGGGUUAUGGUUUAGAAAGGUUUGGACUCUAUAUAUAUUUUCUAUGUAUUUUUGGGCUGUGUAGUUGUAUAUUUUCUUGUCUUGGUUUAGGCUGUCUCGGUAUGUGUUAACUUGUGGGGGUAUGAAUAAAUGGUCUUUUUGUGCUUUUGGGGUAAAUGGUUUUUCAAAUAUUUUGUUCAUAUUUACAUUCUGGUAUCUUGGUCUAUUAACUCCUUUGCUUGUACCUGCAGAAGUAGAUUGAUAAAUGUUAUGGGUUUUAUGGAGUGUCCCAACGUCUCCUUCUAGCUCUGGAUUUUUAAUGUCUUUCGAUCGACAUAGCUCUGCACAUUGCUGAGUUAGCUGAUUUGUAGCUAUAGACUUCAGUUUAUCUUCAUUAGUCUUUAGCUUUUCUAUCUCAUUACCCAUACUGUCCACUUUCAUUGAAAGCGUAGUUAGGGUGUUAAGUAUUUUUUCUAGAGUAUCUUCCUCUACUAUUUCAGUCUGUGUAGCUUUGUCUUGAUAUGUAAUCUGCAAUAACAUUUUUGUUAGUACUGAUCACUUCAAUUGUAAAUGUGAAAUUUAAUAUAUUUAAAACUAGUCUUCGAAUCUCUUUUGUUGUAACUGAAUUUUGUAUUUUCUUUGUUAACCACCAGCGUACCUGUGUAUUAUCUGUUCGUACAAUAAAUUUGUUAUAUACAAUAUAUGGCUCAAAUGCUAAUAAACAUUUAUAUAAUGAACAUAAUUCUUUCCUAUUUAUUUCCCAUUUUAUUUCUGUCUCGUUGAACGUACCUGAGUAGUAUCUACAAUGGUGUUCUAUUUUUUCUGCUUCAUAUCGAUAUUUAAGUACUCCUCCGUAACUAUAUUCACUUGCAUCUGCUUCUACUAUAUAUAUAAAUUUUCUAUUUUCAUCUGGAAAUUGCAAUUUUGGUAAUUCUCUACAAAGUAAUUUUAUUUUUUGAACUUGUUUUUUAUCUUUUUCAUCAUAAUUAUAUUCUAUAUCCUUUUUUAAUUUUUUCUGCAGUGGUUUUAAGGUUUCUGCUAAUUUUGGAAUAUAUUCUCUUACUUGGUUUACUAAUCCUAAAAAUGAUUGUAAUUUCUUUUUUGUAUCUAAUUCUUCUUUCGAAUUUAUUAUUUUUUGUACUAUAUGUUGUUGCAUUUUUACUCCACUUUUAUCUAUUUGUAUUCCUAAAAAUUCUAUCUGGUUUUUCAUAAUUUCAGCUUUCUUUUUGCUUAGACUUAUUCCUGAUUUUUCUAUUAUAUCUGUGAAUUGUUCUAAUAAUUUUAAAUGUUCUUCUUUGGUUUUGGUGUAUAAUAAUAUAUCAUCUAUGUAUACUAUACAAUUAGAUAAUUGUUUAAAAUAAUUAUCCAUAAAAUGUUGAUAUCUACCUGGUGCAUUUUUAUAUCCAAAUGGUAACACGUUCCAUUCAUAAAAUCCUUGUGGUACCGUAAAUGCGGUUAAUUCUUUAGAUUCUUCUUCUAGCUUUAGGUGGUAAAAUCCUGAUUUACAAUCAAAUUUGCUAAAAUAAUUAUAUCCUUGGAUUUGUCUUAUUUUUAAUAUCUUAUUUGGUAUCGGAUAAUUAUAUGUUAUAGUUUUUGCAUUUAAAUUUCUAUAGUCAAUAACCAUCCUACUUUUUCCUCUUUUUUGUUCACUAUGUUUAUUUACUAUAAAUGCUGGACUAUUAUGUUUACUAUUACUUUUUUGUAUAUAUUGUUUUUCUAAUAAUUCAUCUAUGUGCAUUUUAAAUUCUUUUAAAUCAUCAAAAUUAUAUGUUAAUGGUUUUUGUGUUAUUAUGCUAUUCUUAUCUAUUAAUUCAAUUUUUAUAGUAGUUUUGUGUUUUUCCCAUCCUUUUAAUGGAUCUUCACUAUAUAAUUGUUCUAAUUUUUUCUGAAUUAUUUCUAUUUUAUUUAUUGAAAAUAUAGUUAUUUCUGUUUUAUUUAUCGAAAAUACUACUAGUUCUACUGUAUCUUCAGUAUUGUUUAUAUUUUCUAACUUUUGUGUAAUUUUUUCACUUCCUUUUAUCCAAUCAGUUUUCUUUCUUAUUUUAUUAUUAACUCUUUUUGCUCUUACUUUUUGUUUGCAUGGUGUUGUAAACCACCAGUCUGUUUUAGUUAUUAUAUGUGGGUAUAAUUUAUCUAAAAAUGGCAUUCCUAAAAGUAUAUCUUUUGAUGUUAAUUCAUAGUUAUAAAUUUCUUCUAUUGUUAAUAUCUUAUCCCAUACUUGUAUUUUUACAUUCCUAGCUUUAUAAGUAAUUAAGCUUCCUUCAUUAUUAAAUCCUUUAACUAUUAUUGGUGUUUUUAGUUUAUCCCAUUUGCUUUCUGGUAAGCAAUUAUAUCUACAUAAAUUAGCUUCUGCUCCUGUAUCUAUCAUAGGCGUAUAAUAUCUACUGUAAUAUCCUUCUACUACUAUCUUCAUUAAUACAUGUAUCUUCAUUUCAUGUUAAGGCUCUUUUUAAGAAUAACUUUUCUUGGUUAUAUGUUAAGGUUAAUUGUGUAUGUUCUAUAUUAUAUGGUUUUACUUGUUCUAACCAUUUUAUUCCUAAUAUUAUAUCUGCUUUUUGCAUUUCUUCUUUUACUUCGAAUUCUAUUUUUAUUUUUCUAACUCCUAAUAUUAUUUCUUUUUCUGCUAGAUUUUUAUUAUUUAUUAAACUUCUUGGUAAGUCUGGGCAUAUAUUAUUGUCGGUUUUUAUUUCUUCAUUUUUUACUAGAUAUUUUGCUAUAUAAUUUUCUUCUUGUCCUGUGUUCAAAAGUAUUAAAUAUUCUUUUUCAUUUAUUUUUCCCGUUAUGUAAUAUUGGUUUAAAUUACUUAUUGAGUUUGUUUCAUAACUUGUUCUUUUUGAUGAGCUUGAUGAUUCUGGCUUUUCAUUAGCUAUUCUUUUCGUUGUACUUAUUCUAUCAUUUACUAUUUCUAAAUUUUCUUCUGUAUCUAUGUCUCUAUAGGUAUAAUCAUUAUAAUCUAUUGUUUUUACUAUUUGUUCGAAUGGGCUUUCUAUUUGUAUUUUGUUAAUCUUAUUUUUUCCUGUUAUUUUAUGUUUUGUUGUUAAUACAUAUAGGUUUUUACAUCUUGCUGUAAAUAUUUUACUUCCUGGGGUUAACUCUAUUCCUGAUAUUUUCCAAUAUAAUACUAAUGAUUUAUCUAUAUUCCUAUCUGUUACUGCUACUGAAUAAUUUGCACUUAUUAUAAAUUUAAAUUUUUGGUAUAUUAGAUUUCCUUUUACGGCAGUUAUUAUGCUUUUUUCUAUAGGUUUUAUAAUUCUAUCGUCUGCUAAAUAUAAUUCUAUUGGUGUAUCUAUUCCUUCUCUAAAACAUGCUUUUAUUAAUAUCUCUGUACCUCCAAGGUGUACAUAUUUUAUUGGAUCUCCUUUACUUUUUAUAUCAUUUAUUUCUUUAUUAAUUAUUCUUUUUGUUACUAGUGGUAUACUAGCUUUUCCUUUUGCAUAUCUGCAAUCUAUUACAUGUUCUUUUUGGCAUACUACAUAAUAUUCAUCUUUUUUCCUAGUAAAAAUAUUUUUUAUUGUUGGUAUUUUAAAUAUUUUGUCUACACUUAAAUCUAAUUCUUUUCCUUUUAUUUCAUCAAAUAUAUUACUGUCAAAUAUUAUUUUUUGUUCCGUUCCUUCAUCAUUUAAAUAUUCUUCCUUUGUUAUUAUUUUUAUAUCUUCUUCAGUCAUUUGAUUCAUCUAUUUCGCUAUCUAUUUCAUUAUCUGUUUCGUUUUCUGAAAUUUCAUAUAUACUAUCUUCACUUUCUAAUUCAUAAUCUAUAUAAUCUAUCUGCAUGUAUUCGGUAUUUUCUAUUUUUAUUUCUGAUAUUUGUUUAUUUUUUGGAUUUUUAGGUAAUUUACAAUCUCUAGCUAAAUGUCCUAACUUUCCACAAUUAUAACAAGUACAUUCUUUUAUAGAUUUCUUUUUUCUAUAUGGUCUUUUAUGUUUAUAAUUUUUUACAUAGUAUCUUUUUCUUGGUUUUUUAUAUUUAUAUUUUGAUUUUUUAUAUUUCUUAUAUUUCUUAUGUCUUUUUCUUUUCUUAUAAUAUCUUUCUUCGCAUCCAAAUUGGGGUGCUAUUUUAUUUUUGCAACAAGCUAAAUUUCUUAUUAAUGUUUUUUCCAUUUUUAAUUCUUCUCUAUAUUUUUCACAUAAGUUUCUAUACCAUUGUUGUAAAUAUUUUAUUCUUGCUCCUAACGUAUCUACUAUUUUUGCUUCUUCCCAACUUUUUAUUAUUUUCGAACUAAAUGGCUCGGGUAAUUUAUUAAAAUAUAAUUUUCUUAUUUCUUUACUUUCUUCUAUACUAUAUGCUCCUUUGUAAUAAUAUUCUUUAAAUGCGCAAGUAUAUUCAUCUAUAUAACACAUAUUACAUAUUGCUAAUUUUAACAUUAAAUUUCUAUUUGUAUCUUUUUCUUCAUUUUGUUCUUCUUCGAUUGUUGUCGUACUACCAAAUUCAUCUUUUAUAGCUGUUUCAUAUUUUUUUAAUAAUUCUAUAGGUGUUAGUUUAGUUGUUGUCGAUGAUGUUCCUUCUAUAGGUUUAUUAGUUCUUAAUACUUUUUUGCUAUUUUCGGUUAGAUUUGCAAACCAUAGUUUUACUGAUCCUAUUAGUGUUUUUUCUAUAUAUUCCGGUGCAUCUGUUAUAUUUAUAUUAUUAUCUAAUAAUUGUUUUGUCAUAUAUCCUAUCCAUAAUUGUAUUGUUUUUUCUGUAUCUAUUACACAGUCUAGAUCUAAAAAGUUAUAAUUUUUAUUCACUAUUUGUUUUGGUAUCCAUUUAUCAUAUUCAUUAUAUUUUUUAAACUUAUUCUUAUGGUAUAUAGGUUUUCUUAUUUCUGUUGUUUUAGGUAUUAUAUUUUCAUUUUCUUUUUUAUCAAGAGUAUUUAUUUCUGUGUGGGUAUUUUCUAAGUUUUCCUCAUUAAUUUUUUGUUCUUCAUUGAUUUCUAAAUUUUUUGUAUUUGUUAAUAUUUCUGUGUAUGUUUCACUAUCUUCGGACUCAUAAUUAUCUGUCUCUUCAAUAUCUAUAUUAUUUAUUUCUAAUUCUUCGUUUUUUAUUUCUAAUUUUUCCUUAAAUUGAUUUAUCUCAUUUAGUAAUUUCUGUUCUCUAUCUUUUUCUUCUUUUUCUUUUUGUCUUUGUUCAUACAGUUCUUUUAACAUUUGUAAUUCUUUUUCUAAUUCAGCAAUUCUACUAUUUUUGGUUUCUUCUAUUUUUCGUAUUUCUUCCGUAGUUUGUUGUUUUAUUUUUUCUAUUUCUUUUUUCCUAUCUAUCUCUUCAUUUUCUUUUUCUAUUCUUACCAUUGCUGUUAAUUUAUCUUCUAAUUUUAAUUCUUCUUUUUCUAACAUUAGAUAUAAAUGUUCACCUAUUUUCUUAUAUCUUCGUCCUAGAUUAGAAAAUACUAUUUUUAUUUUUGAUCCUUCGUAGUUUUCAUAUAUUUUUUCAUCUAUUAUAAAUUCUUCUUUAUUCAUUUUAUUGUGAAUAGGUCAUGUUGAUAUACAUAUUCUAAACUAUCUAUUUGUGAUUCUAAUUUUGAUAUUUCAUCUUUUUGUGUAUCUAUUGAAUUUUUACUAACUCCGGCAAAUAUAUUAUAAUGUAGUCUUUUUAUUCUUAUUUUUAAUUCUUUACGUUUUUCAAAAAUAAUUUGUUUUAAUUCUUUAUAUUGUUGUACUUUAUUCAUUUUAAAUUAUAUUUAUAAUAUCUUGGUGGAUAUCUAAAUCUAAUUUUAUCAUAAUUAGGUGGUAUGUGUUUCAUUCUUCUGGAUUUUAAAUGUGCUAUUAAUUUUGAUUCUAUACUAGAUAUUAAUGUAAUUAAGUAGGCUAAUUUUUGUGGAUUUUCUUUUGUUUUAUUUAGACUUAUAUAUUCUGAAUAAUUACUAAUUAAAGAUUCUUUAAUUUUUUUAAAAGCUUUUCUAUUUUUAAAUGGUCUUCGCAUUAUUAAUUUAAUAAUUUUGUAGGUAAAUUUUUUAACUCUAAAUUUUUUAACUCUAACUCUAAAUCUAAUUUUAAUAUAUAUUUCUCAAUCUUUACUUGCGAGAUUGUACUUGAUAUAUUAUGAUAUUAUUGUCCUAACAUAAAAAAAUUAAGAAAAAUUAUAUGAUAGAACUACUUAACAUACGAUAUCGAUCUACUUAAAAUCCCAACUCUUUUAUUUAAUUACAUUCAUCCCAUAUUUUAAAUUUUCUUUCUUCAUUGUACUUGACAUCACAUUUGUUAUUUUUAUCUCCUCAGAUUUUUCUCUCCAUUUUCCUCAGAUUUUUCAAAUUUCAACUAUUUUUCUAUUGCAGCUUUGCAUCUCCACCUUUCUCUCAACUUCUCCUUUUCUCACUUUCUCUCAUCGGAAAACCAUUACCACAGCGGUGAAAAAUUUUCAUCUCUGUGACUCCCACUGUCCAACCACCACCAAACCCGUUGCCCUCUCCCACUUCUCUCUUUCCUUCGCUCCUCUCUCGUGUCCUUCUUUCCACCUUCAUAUCUCCCCUCCGGUCAUCUCCAAUAAAAAAGGAUCAUUGGUGAACCACCACCAAAAUAAAAAUCUCCCAAAGCUUCAUCUUUUCCGACGAAUGUCAAAGAAUUUUGAUGAUACAAGUGGAGAUCUAGCCAGAUCUAAUCAAAAGUAUUUGUUUUCUCCAUUCAGAAAAUUUUACGAAAUUUAAGUAUCUGACGGUGAACCAUCGCCAAAAUGAAAACCUUCCAAAGCUUCAUUUUUUUGACAGAAAGUCAAAAUUUUGACGUUACAGGUGGAUAUCUAGCCGAGUUGUUGGGAACAUUUAUUUUCUCCUUUUGAAAAAUUUCACGAAAUCUACGUAUCUGAAGGAUUUCAUAUUGCUGAUACAUAAACUAAUGUAUCUGACUAAAAUUGUAUAUCAAACUGAUGUUAAUGUUACUGAUACACAAAUAAAGCUUGUACAUGUUAUAUUAUGUGUGAGAUGAUAUUAAUUAUGAUACAUUAUAAUGAAAUUUCAUAGUACUUGUAUGUAUCUGUAACACGAUACAUAUCAAUCAAACUAAUAACUCAUGUAUCAUGAUCCUUUAAAAACUGUAUGUCAUCACAUGUUAUAUGUAAAAAGAGAUAUGAGAAUAUCAGAGUAUUAUAAUAUAUUCAGACGACAAUGAUAUAUCCGUAUAAAUUAAAGUAUUCCAAAACUUGUAAUAAUAUUGAAAAAAGUGAAAUAAGAAGUAAUUAGUACUAAAGUGGUGGAAUUUAUAAAUAUAUAUGUCACUGUAUAAAAAGAGGGUGGCCCACUUACUUAAUUCUUUGAAGGCAUUUGGUGUUGCUGUCGUAAUUAUUUUUGGCCUAUAUAUGAUUGAGUAGUUGAUGGAUUACACCACUAAUUAGGGCUGCAUAUCGGUCGGUUCAGUUCGAUUUUGAAAAUUAUCGAUUUUAUUUAUUCAUUAUUGGUUUGUAUAUAUGCUAAACCGUUAAAGAACCUUUAAGAUAUCGGUUAAUCGAUUAUCGGUUUUUAGUUGUUAUUGAUUCAGUUAUCGGGUUAAGCAUUAACAUUGAACAUAUAUAAUUUAAAGUCCAAAGCUACUGUCGACUGCUUACUGCUUAGUGCUUAUUGCUCUUUCUAUGCACAAAGCCACAAUCUGCACUUAUUGCUCUUUCAGUGUACAAGCUACAAAGCCACAAACUAUAUUUUAUGCCGUUAAUUUUCUACACUAACUACACAAGUAUAAAAUCUGAAAUCACAAAUAAUACCACCAAAAAGUAAUCUAGCAAAAACAAAAUAAAAAGCACAUAAGCGAGCACAUGGCUCAUGGUUGCAAUAGUCUGCACUUUGAAAUUGUCUUAUGGCUGCAGCAGUCGCAAAUUCAAAACUGUCUAGCACAAAUAGAAUACAAAACAUUCAAACUAAAGUCACAAAUUUAAAAUUGUCUACUGGUCUAGCACAAAUAGAAUAGGAAAAAUCCAAAGUAACAGUAACUCAAUUUGAAAAUUAAGUUCAAAUUCCAAACAUAGUAAUAAUACUAAUUACUACUCAAGUUUUAUACUACGAGCACGAUACUUCAUCCUCUCCAAACAAUGAUCAACAUGAGCCCUCAAGCAGAAAGUCCCAGUACGUCGUGGAUGGUAAUUAUAAACAUUACCACAAUGAAUACACUUCAUGUUGCACCCUCCAUCAUCAUCUUCUUCAAGUUUUUGAUAGUGAUUCCAAACAGGUGAUCGAACUUUAAGACCACGUUGUUAAGACAUAGCAAAACCUAAUUAAUAGAGAAACAAAGAUAUUAGAAAUACUCCAAACAACUUUAACUAUAUAAGAUAAAUAAAAGAAACAAACCUACAGUACUAUGUUUAGAUAUCUUUGUUUCUUUAUGGUCUCUCAAAUUUUACAAUAAAAACUGUAUUUGUAGAAUUAUGCUUAAAGGUGAAACAUAUUAUUUACAUUGAAAGCAUCUUUUGAAUGAAAAUACUGACAAGUACAUUCAAGCUUGUGUCUUUUAUCAUCAGAAAUGAAAUUCGUGUAUUGAAAUAAUUAUUUUUACAUAAAACACAGAGAUCUCCACCUACUUAUUUUUGUCUUCUCAAGAAAAUAUAUAAGAUAAUACUAGCUGCUAAUCAUCUCCAACUAUUUUAUUUAACUACUUACAAUAGUCUAAAUAGCUGGUAGACAAGUUGCAAGUCACGAAUGAGAAGUUGAAGCAAUACUGAAGUCUCACAUUCAAAUUUUAAUCGAUAUAAAAAAUAUUUAGAUAAUUUUUACUAGAACUAGAUCUGUUGAUCGCCUUCUAUAACCAUUGCUUGCCUUAGUGAAACACUUCUAAAUCCCCAAAUUCUUUACUCUGCUUCAGAUAGACUAAACAUGAAACACCAUUAAUUCCUUCUCACCACAGCUUCAUCGCCGGAUAGUGCCAUAAACACCAAGGAAAAAAAAGUGACAACUCAAGUUUAAGUAUCAGGAUUGACAUUGGAUACCAUAAUGUAACCUUUCAUUUACAGGGGAUAAAACUGAAUUUGCAGGGGAUACAAAAAUUCAGCUUACACAGUACAACACACUACACUGUUGAACCCAAUUUUGACCUCCCGAUACUAAUUUUAGGCUGCUAUUUUAUCAAAAUUAUUUAAUUUUAAUUAUUACACAGUAUUCUUAUAUUAAAUGCAUACUAACAUGUCACAUUCAUAAUUUAGAUAAAAAAUGCAUAAAUUAUUUCAUUAUCUUUUAGCAUCAUUUUUAUAAUAUUUUAUGACAUUUUUAUGUGAUUUUAUUUAUUAAAUUAUUUUUCACAUAAUUGUGCACACUCCCAUUUUUGCAAAUAUAUUUUUCAUUAUUUAGUACUAUUUAUUUAUUUAUUUAUUUAUAUUAUUAUUAUUUAUUAAUAUUUUUAUCAUUAUUAUUAUUAUUUAUUAUUAUAUUAUACUACUAGAAUUUAAAUAGCGGCCUAAUUUGAAAUCUUUGCCUAAUUUACUCAUCUUGUAACUCAAUUUAUUCAAUCUCUUACAAUUUCAACCAUCUUAUUACAAUUAUGGCCAAUUAAGAAUUUAAUUUUAAUUUAUGGACCAAAUCCUCAACCUUUAAAUCUUAACCGUCGAUCAAAACUAAUCCGACGGCUGAGAUCAAAGGAUCUCCUCAUUUCCUUUUAAAACCUAAAUUGAGAAACCCUAACCCUAAGCCCCCAUUUUCAUCCGCCUCCCCCAUCUCUCUAUCCCUUCUCUCUCUACCUCCCCUUCUCUCUUAUCAUCAUCAUCGACAUCUAUGGCUACCACCGGCCACCCCAAUGUCGGGGAAACCCUUUCCCCUUGCUCUCCUUCUCGUCUCCCUCUAAACUCCCUCUCCUCUCGUCCUCCACCAACGAAACCAGCCACCAAAUGCUGCUCUAGUCGUCGAUAUCAGCAGGUAAAGCGGCGCCGCCGCUGCUCCACUCUCUCCACCGAUAAGCCAACACUAACGGUAGACCCCCAGAUCUGUUGCCUCUGACAACAGCAGUCGUGAACCAUCCCCCGCUUUUUCUUUGCUACUCUAGCGUCUCCUCCCAGCGCCGCCAGCUCGCCCCCAUCAACGCCACCAGCGGCGCCGUCACCAGCGGCGCCACUACUUCCCUCUGUUCAUAUAGGUUCCCAUUGGAAUUAAGGCCGAUGGGGUUCCCUUUUGAUGAAUUCAGUUACCCUAUGAUUUGAUUCCUUAUCUCAUUAAGUGCAUGUUGGUUUCUUGAGUUCGACUUGUAGGUUCUUUUUUUUCUUUUGGGUACAAACGGCCUAAAUUAAUUUCUUAGAUCUAAGGUUUAUGAUAUCUAACUUUGAGUGUUGAUUCAAUUCAUUUAAUUAAUUAAGUGCCUAUUUUUAGACUAUUAUGAGAAUACUUUUAGACUGCUAUUGUAACACCCCAGAAAAUGGAUCCCGGAGCGUCACACGGUGCUUGAGGCUACGAGUAGUCCCAAGCUAACCCUUUGAGCCAUUUUCAUUCAGUUCAACAAAAAUCAACGAGGUUUCCAUAAAUAACCCUCAAAUAUCAAUAGAGUAAUCAUCGUCCAAGAAUAAAAGAAUUUCAGAAAGAUAACAAAAUACGACUUAUUAGUCAACUCCCAACAUCUAUACUAGUCUGAGCAGCCUCUAAGAAAAUCNNNNNNNNNNNNNNNNNNNNNNNNNNNNNNNNNNNNNNNNNNNNNNNNNNNNNNNNNNNNNNNNNNNNNNNNNNNNNNNNNNNNNNNNNNNNNNNNNNNNNNNNNNNNNNNNNNNNNNNNNNNNNNNNNNNNNNNNNNNNNNNNNNNNNNNNNNNNNNNNNNNNNNNNNNNNNNNNNNNNNNNNNNNNNNNNNNNNNNNNNNNNNNNNNNNNNNNNNNNNNNNNNNNNNNNNNNNNNNNNNNNNNNNNNNNNNNNNNNNNNNNNNNNNNNNNNNNNNNNNNNNNNNNNNNNNNNNNNNNNNNNNNNNNNNNNNNNNNNNNNNNNNNNNNNNNNNNNNNNNNNNNNNNNNNNNNNNNNNNNNNNNNNNNNNNNNNNNNNNNNNNNNNNNNNNNNNNNNNNNNNNNNNNNNNNNNNNNNNNNNNNNNNNNNNNNNNNNNNNNNNNNNNNNNNNNNNNNNNNNNNNNNNNNNNNNNNNNNNNNNNNNNNNNNNNNNNNNNNNNNNNNNNNNNNNNNNNNNNNNNNNNNNNNNNNNNNNNNNNNNNNNNNNNNNNNNNNNNNNNNNNNNNNNNNNNNNNNNNNNNNNNNNNNNNNNNNNNNNNNNNNNNNNNNNNNNNNNNNNNNNNNNNNNNNNNNNNNNNNNNNNNNNNNNNNNNNNNNNNNNNNNNNNNNNNNNNNNNNNNNNNNNNNNNNNNNNNNNNNNNNNNNNNNNNNNNNNNNNNNNNNNNNNNNNNNNNNNNNNNNNNNNNNNNNNNNNNNNNNNNNNNNNNNNNNNNNNNNNNNNNNNNNNNNNNNNNNNNNNNNNNNNNNNNNNNNNNNNNNNNNNNNNNNNNNNNNNNNNNNNNNNNNNNNNNNNNNNNNNNNNNNNNNNNNNNNNNNNNNNNNNNNNNNNNNNNNNNNNNNNNNNNNNNNNNNNNNNNNNNNNNNNNNNNNNNNNNNNNNNNNNNNNNNNNNNNNNNNNNNNNNNNNNNNNNNNNNNNNNNNNNNNNNNNNNNNNNNNNNNNNNNNNNNNNNNNNNNNNNNNNNNNNNNNNNNNNNNNNNNNNNNNNNNNNNNNNNNNNNNNNNNNNNNNNNNNNNNNNNNNNNNNNNNNNNNNNNNNNNNNNNNNNNNNNNNNNNNNNNNNNNNNNNNNNNNNNNNNNNNNNNNNNNNNNNNNNNNNNNNNNNNNNNNNNNNNNNNNNNNNNNNNNNNNNNNNNNNNNNNNNNNNNNNNNNNNNNNNNNNNNNNNNNNNNNNNNNNNNNNNNNNNNNNNGGUUCUUGAAGUUGGAUGUAGGAGCUUAGGGUUUUCUUUUUGAGGGAAUUUGAUGAAAUAUAACAUAUAAUGCUUCUAAUAGGCUUUAAUAUAGGGUUUGGACGGAUUUUGGGUGAGGGGGAAUGACCAAAAAGCUCCUAAAAAUCAAAUAAUUCUCGAAUCUGUGCUUUGGUGGACUGUUUUGAUAGUUUGAAGUAGAUCAACCAUAACGUUUUACUCCGACAUCCAUAUUAGAUGAAACCAAUUUCAUUAGAAAGAGGACUCUCAUAUAUUUCCGUUGAUAUAUAGUAUCUCACCCAGAUCAUUGUGUACGAGGAGUUAUGAUCAUUUAAAUUUGACCCAAAAAUUAGCUUUUGAUAGGCUGAAGUAGAUCAACCAUAACCUUUUGCUCCGAUAGACAAAUUUGAUGAAACUAAUUUCAUUGGAAAGAGGACUCGCAGAGCUUUCCGUUUAUAUAUAAUAGAUCACCCAGAUUAUUAUGUACAAGGAGUUAUGAUCAUUUAAAGUUGGAGCAAAAAUACGCCAGGCCUCAGUACUUUUUCCUGCACGCUUUGCUAUUCACUACUAUUCAUAGUUCGAUCGGAAUUUUCAUAACUCAUCGCUCGGGUGUCCGUUUUGGAUGAUCCAUAUAUCGUUGGAAAUAAUAUUUGAUACUCUAUGCAAUGGUGGGUCAUAAUCUAAGACAUUACGUACGAAAAAUUUAUAAUUCAUUCUAGAAGAUAGAACCCAACACGUUUAUGCAUAAAAUUUUAACAAAAAAUUUCUCGGGGUAUUACAUCAUCCCCCCCUUGGAAACAUUCAUCCUCGAAUGAUGCUAUACAUGCUAAGAUUAGAGAGGAAAUAGAGAAUACAGCUGAAACCAUUCGUUAGACUCAUCAUCACAUCAUUUCUCACUUCGAAUGCAACAUAGAAUGCAUAAAUUCAAGAAACUACAGUUGAACACAUAAUAAAUGACAGCUGAACUACUGCAACUUUUAUAAAAAGUGCAUGAUUUAGGAAAGAACGGUACCUUCGGCUUGAUCGGAGUUCGCGGAAAAUAGGUGCGGGUACUUGGAUUGCAUAUCCGCCUCAGCUUCCCAAGUUGCACCCUCAACAGAUUUGUUUUGCCACAACACCUUGACCAUGGGAACUUCUUUGUUCCUUAGUCUUCGGACACUGAAAUCAAGAAUCUCAAUAGGAAUCUCAUCGAAAGAAAGAUUUUCUUGAAUGUCAGCACUCACAGAGGAAUCCACUACCACAACAUCGCUAAUAUGCUUUCUAAGCAUGGAGACAUGGAAUAUUGGAUGAACAGAGGACAACUUUGAAGGCAACUCGACCUCAUAAGCUACCUUACCAACACGGCUAAGAAUUUUGUAAGGACNNNNNNNNNNNNNNNNNNNNNNNNNNNNNNNNNNNNNNNNNNNNNNNNNNNNNNNNNNNNNNNNNNNNNNNNNNNNNNNNNNNNNNNNNNNNNNNNNNNNNNNNNNNNNNNNNNNNNNNNNNNNNNNNNNNNNNNNNNNNNNNNNNNNNNNNNNNNNNNNNNNNNNNNNNNNNNNNNNNNNNNNNNNNNNNNNNNNNNNNNNNNNNNNNNNNNNNNNNNNNNNNNNNNNNNNNNNNNNNNNNNNNNNNNNNNNNNNNNNNNNNNNNNNNNNNNNNNNNNNNNNNNNNNNNNNNNNNNNNNNNNNNNNNNNNNNNNNNNNNNNNNNNNNNNNNNNNNNNNNNNNNNNNNNNNNNNNNNNNNNNNNNNNNNNNNNNNNNNNNNNNNNNNNNNNNNNNNNNNNNNNNNNNNNNNNNNNNNNNNNNNNNNNNNNNNNNNNNNNNNNNNNNNNNNNNNNNNNNNNNNNNNNNNNNNNNNNNNNNNNNNNNNNNNNNNNNNNNNNNNNNNNNNNNNNNNNNNNNNNNNNNNNNNNNNNNNNNNNNNNNNNNNNNNNNNNNNNNNNNNNNNNNNNNNNNNNNNNNNNNNNNNNNNNNNNNNNNNNNNNNNNNNNNNNNNNNNNNNNNNNNNNNNNNNNNNNNNNNNNNNNNNNNUUUGGUGUUCAACCUUAACCUGUUGGCAUGUUGUACACUUAGCUACAAAGGCUGCUAUAUCUUUCUUCAUGCCAUUCCACCAAUAGAUUUUCCGCAAGUCUCAGUACAUCUUGGUGUCACCAGGAUAAAUAGAAUAUCGCUCCCCGUGCGCUUCAUCCAUAAUCAUCUGUCUCAGAUCAUCAACACUUGAGACACACAAUCUACCCUGCAAUCUCAACACACCAUCUCUUCCUUGGAAGAAAACCUCUACUUUUUGGUCCUUGACUGGCUCCUUCAGUCUGACCAAACUAGCAUCUAAGUAUUGCUUUUCCUUCACUUCCGAAACCAAGGAGGAUUCGGAACUACUCUGAAUCCCUUUACUACCUUCAGCAGAGUCAAACAACCUAACCCCCAAUCUAGCCAAAUGAUGUACAUCACAAGCCAACUCUUUCUUACCUUACACCACAUGCAAAACACUACCCAUGGACACUCUACUUAGGGUAUCUGCCACAACAUUAGCCUUGCCCGGAUGGUACAGCACACUCAUAUCAUAGUCCUUUAAUAAUUCUAACCAUCGUCUCUGCCUAAGAUUCAAUUCUCUCUGGGUAAACACAUACUGCAGACUCUUAUGAUCAGUGAAAACAUUAACAUGGACACCAUACAAAUAGUGUCUCCAUAUUUUCAAAGCAAACACAAUAGCAGCCAACUCAAGGUCAUGGGUGGGGUAAUUUUUCUCAUGGGGUUUUAACAGUCGAGAAGCAUAAGCUAUCACUUUACCCUUCUGCAUUAAUACGUAACCCAACCCAACUCUCGAAGCAUCAUAGUACACCACAAAACCAUCAACACCAUCAGGCAAAGUCAAAACAAGGGCUGAAGUGAGUCAAGUCUUCAGCUCCUGAAAACUCUUCUCACAAGAUUCGGACCAUAANNNNNNNNNNNNNNUCAACAAAAUGGCGGUAAUAGCCAGCUAAACCCAAGAAACUUUGGAUAUCAGUCAGAGAAAUAGGUCUAGGCCAAUUUCUAAAAGCUUCGAUCUUUUGGGGAUCAACUUUAAUACCCUCGGAAGAAAUGAUAUGACCUAGAAAAGCAAAUGACCUUAGCAAAAACUCACACUUACUGAACUUGGCAAACAACUUGUGAUCUCUAAGGGUUUGCAAGACAUUUCAAAGAUGAUUAGAAUGUUCAUCCUCACUACGGGAGUACACCAGUAUAUCAUUGAUGAACACUAUGACAAGCAUAUCCAGAUAUGGUCUGAACACUCGAUUCAUGAGGUCCAUGAAAGCUGCUGGGGCAUUAGUUAACCCAAAAGACAUAACAAGAAACUCAAAAUAGCCUUAACAAGUUUGGAAAGCAGUUUUCGGGUUGUCACACUCCCUAACUUUGAGUUGAUGAUAGUCGGAACGAAGGUUUAUCUUGAGAAAUAACUUGUACAUUACAAUUGGUCAAACAAAUCAUCUAUUCUCGGAAGGGGGUACUUAUUUUUUACGGUGACUUUAUUCAGUUGGCGGUAAUCAAUGUACAUACGCAAAGAGCCAUCUUUCUUUCUCACAAACAACACAGGAGCACCCCAAGGAGAAACACUAGGCCUUAUGAAACCCUUAUCUAGUAGAUCUUUGAGUUGCUUUUUCAACUCCUUAAGUUCUACAGGGGCCAUAUGGUAAGGAGGAAUAGAAAUGGGAUGAGUAUCGGGAAGAAGAUCAAUCCUGAACUCUAUCUCUCUAUCAGGAGGUAUCCCUGGGAGAUCAUCUAGAAAGAUAUCAAAAAACUCAUUGAUGAUGUUAAUAAAAUGGAGAGUAGGAGUCUCAGACUUAGUGUCUUUGACUCUUAACCAAAUGGUAAAUACACCCCUUGGAAAUAAGCUUUUAGGCUUUGAGGUAAGAGAUAAAAUUACUCUUGGGUGACACAGAAUUCCCAGACCACUCAAACAUAGAUGCACCCGAAAACUAAAACUUGACCACUCGUGUCCGACAAUCAAUAAAGGCAUAAGAAGAAUACAACUAGUCCAUAUCCAGAAUCACACAAAAUCUACCAUGUCUAACUCAAUCAGAUUAGCCAAUAAGACUCUAUAAAGAAUGGUAACAGGACACUUUUUAUACACUUUCUGGGCAACAAUCGAAUCACCCACUGGGGUAGAAACUAGGAUAGGCUCAGGAAUAACCUCAGGACCCAUUUCAAAAUUCACAGCAAUCAAAGGUGUAACAUAUGAGAAACUGGAUCCAGGAUCCAACAAAGCAUACACAUCAAACUGUAAUAUACAAAGCAUACUAGUAACAAUAUCGGGAGAGUCCUCCUGUUCCUGGCGGGACGGUAAAGCAUAGAAUCUAUUCUGGCGCUGCCCUCCAGCAUUGCUAGAAGAGAAGCGCUCAGGGGCUGGGUGAGUCGUUGGAACUGGAGCACUAACAGUCUGAGUCUGGGUCUGAGGGCGAUAGUCACGACGCCUUUGUCCAUCCUGUGGACAAUCUCUAACUCUGUGACCUAUGUCACCACACUGGAAACAACCCCUCUUCUCACCCCAAUACUCACCCAAAUGAGCCCUACCAUACUAAGGACACAGGGGAUGAUUUGGCUUAUUGCCAGCACUGUAUUGGGACCUAGAUGCAUAUGACCUGCUACCUUACUCCUGCUUACCUCUAGGCAUGGGAGCACUAGCAGAUGACGGUCCUGGCAUAGACGAAUGAUCCUGAUACUGAGGGCGACUCCCUCCCUGCGAUCUAGUAUGACCCUGUUCGUACUGCUCAGACCUACCUCUCUUAUUCUCUCACAUUCUAUCUCUCUCCUUAAUCUUGUCUUCCUCAAUCUGUUGGGCAUGAGUCAUCAGCCUAGAAAUAUUUAUCUCACUAUUCAGCAUAGCAGUCCUACACUUCUUAACCACAUAACUAGACACUCCAGUCACAAACUUACUCAUACUAGCUCGAUUAUCAGCCACUAAGUCAGGAGCAUACUUGGCCAACUGAUUGAACUUUAGACAGUACUCCCUAAUAGUCAUAGAGCCCUGUCGCAGGUUCAUAAACUCUUCCACCUUUACCUCCCUCAUCUCCAAAGGGAAAAACUUAUCCAAGAAUGUAUCCUGGAACUCUUGCCAAGUUGUAGGGACAGCUUCCUCACCUCUACCUUUCCUUCAAGCAACAACCCAAUCAUAAGCAAGAUCUUUAAACCUAUACACAGCUAACUCCAUACUAUGUUCCUCAGUUAAAUGCAUCACCUGAGUAAUUUUCCGCACCUUCUCUAACAACAAUCAUGAAUCCUCAUCAGACUUGGACCCAUAGAAUUUCGGUGGAUUUAUCCAAAUGAAGUCACGGAUCCUGGCAGCGGCUGAAUCACCUCCCUGCUGCUGUGGAGCCAGGGCCGGGUUGGCCUGAACAUUUGUAGUAACAUCUUGGGCCAGUGCCUGAAAGGAUGCCCAAAAUUUAAUAUGAGACACAUUUUCAUUCAAUGGGUCAGCAGGUUGAGGUUGUUGACCAUCAUUAUUUUUUCUCGCUCGACAUGAAGGCAUAUUUAUGAAAGAGGAGAGCACGAAUCAAUAGCAGAGAGAGACACUUUAAGUAAGAUUGACUUCUGAAAGAAAGAAUCACACUUUUUCCUAAAACGUCUUAUAGCCUCUUGCUUAUAGAUGUGGCGUGCUACACACUGAUGAUCAAGACUCUACUUAACUUGGCUUGUCAGACUCCCUAGGACAGCUUAAAACCUUAGGCUCUGAUACCAAGUUUGUAACGCCCCGAGAAAUGGGUCUCAGAGCAUCACACGGUGCUUGAGGCUACGAGUAGCCCCAAGCUAACCCUUGGAGCCAUUUUCAUUUAGUUUAACACAAAUCAAUGGGGUUUUCAUAAAUAACCCUUAAAUAUUAAUAGAGUAAUCAUCGUUCAAGAAUAAAAGAAUUUUAGAAAGAUAACAAAAUAUGACUUAUUAGUCAACUUCCAACAUCUAUACAAGUCUGACAAGCCUCUAAGAAAAUCAAUAAAACCAGCGAGCCAAUGAGACAUGCCCCAACUGACUCAUACUCAGUUAUCAAAUGUAAACAAUUCCGUGAAACCAAUAUCAGACAUGAUGUCCUUGGAACAUGAGGACUCACCAUAACAAAGGAUGUAGAACAGCAUGCCCGAAGAAUCACUGUCAAACCUAUAAUUGAGCACCUGAACCUAUAUUCUGAGAAAAUAUAGCCCACAUCCGAAGAUGUGGGUCAGUAUCAUGGAAAGGAACCAAGUAUAUGGGGGUGUAUGCAGUUGUAUAAACAUCAUCAUCAUAAAUAUUUAUAAGAAAUAUACAGGAUGUAUGAAAGACUCACAUAGCUCGAAGAAAAUCAUCAUAAUCAUGAGAGGAUGAAAUAAGUACAAUAACACAUGUGAGUCAUCAUAUAAUUUGUCAAUCACUUUCAGUUCAUCAAGAAUAUCAAUUCUCAUAAUGUAAAUAUCAUUUAAAUCUUUCGAAAGAAUAACUUUCACAAUUCCACUUUCAAAUCACUUCACCAUUCACCAUAGACACAAGGAAACACACACACACUGGGAGAUCCUAUAACCGACAUAAACCAUGUGAGCUACAUGGAGUCCAACGCACAACCCACGUUAGGGAUAGCCAUCCUAUCCUUGCCAUCGGAGUAGGACUAUUGAUAUCAAAUCCANNNNNNNNNNNNNNNNNNNNNNNNNNNNNNNNNNNNNNNNNNNNNNNNNNNNNNNNNNNNNNNNNNNNNNNNNNNNNNNNNNNNNNNNNAAUGGGGUUUCCAUAAAUAACCCUCAAAUAUCAACAGAGUAAUCAUCAUCCAAGAAUAAAAGAAUUUCAGAAAGAUAACAAAAUAUGACUUAUUAGUCAACUCCCAACAUCUAUACUAGUCUAACAAGCCUCUAAGAAAAUCAAUAAAACUAGCGAGCCAUUGAGACAUGCCCCAACUGACUCAUACUCAGUUAUCAAAUGUAAACAAUUUCGUGAAAUCAAUAUCAGACAUACGCCCUUGGAACAUGAGGACUCAUCACAACAGAGGAUAUAGAACAACAUGCCCGAAGAAUCACUGUCUUGAAGUUUAGUUCUUGGAGUUUUUGAACUAGGAACUUGGAAUUUUUGAAUAAAUUUGCAAAAUUAAUGGUGAACUUUGGAGGUUCUUGAAGUUGGAUGUAGGAGCUUAGGGUUUUCUUUUUGAGGGAAUUUGAUGAAAUAUAACAUAUAAUGCUUCUAAUAGGCUUUAAUAUAGGGUUUGGACAGAUUUUGGGUGAGGGGGAAUGACCAAACCACCCCUAAAAAUCAAAUAAUUCUCGAAUCUAUCCUUUGGUAGACUGUUUUGAUAGUUUGAAGUAGAUCAACCAUAACAUUUUACUUCGAUAUCCAAAUUGGAUGAAACCAAUUUUAUUAGAAAGAAGACUAUCAUAUCUUUCCAUUGAUAUAUAGUAUCUCACCCAGAUCAUUGUGUACGAGGAGUUAUAAUCGUUUGAAAUUGACCCAAAAAUUCACUUUUGAUAGGCUAAAGUAGAUCGACCAUAACUUUUUGCUCCGAUAGACAAAUUGGAUGAAACCAAUUUCAUUGGAAAGAGGACUCGCAGAGCUUUCCUUUGAUAUAUAGUAUAUCACCUAGAUCAUUAUGUACAAGGAUUUAUGAUUGUUUAAAUUUGGAUAAAAAAUACGCCAGGCCUCAGUACUUUUUCCUGCACGUUUUACUGUUCACUAUUAUUUACGGUUCGAUCGGAAUGUUCAUAACUCAUCGUUCGGGUUUCCGUUUUGGAUGAUUCAUAUAUCUUUGGAAAGCUUAUUUGAUACUCUACGCGAUGGUGGGUCAUAGUCUAAGACAUUCUGCAUGAACAAUUUAUAAUUCAUUCUAGAGGAUAGAACCCAACACGUUUACUCAUAAAAUUUCAAUGAAAAAUUUCUCAGGGUAUUACAGCUAUGUGCAAAAAUCUCCCAUUCUUUUGAAACUCAAUAUGAUUACUGACUUUUUUCCUGUUCUUGGAAGAUGUUUUACUUGUAUUAUGCAAGGUCUAAUUGAUGUUGACAGAAUGUGAAUUGGUGUUCAUGGUAAAAUACUGACUAUGUUAAUUUAGCAGAUUGGUGGAAUUGAUUUAGCCUGAUUGUUUUUGUGAUUAACUUUCUUGUGAUUCUUCAAUCAAUGUAAUAUAUACGACAAAUACUAAUGUUAAUACAUAUUUCUAUUAUUAUUUAUUCUCUUUUAAAUAAGCAUUUUUUGACUCAUCUAUUUAUGGUAAACAGAUUAUUGAUUGAGUCAACUGUUUAAUUAGUGUGUAAACUUUUAUUAAAUACCGCCUGCCUUGAUUAUAUGGUUACCAUAUUUUAGGUUGUUCUUUUAUGGUAAAUAUAGCACUAGUUUUAUUUUUCCUCUUUUAAUUGAUUCUUGAUUGGUGGAAUUGAUAUUCUCAAUAUGUCUUUCCUUUUAUGUCACGGUAUUACACACUAUAUAAACAACUCUUCUUUUUUAUUAACAGAAAGUUCACAAGUUCUACAAAACUACAAUUCUGCUACUCUCUUAAAAUAAAAAAUCAUUAGCUAUUUCUAUACAAAAACAAUUAUAUACUUUGAGGUUCCUUCGACUUUUCUUCGAGGCUUACAGAAAUAUCUUGCAUAUUUCGCCGUGCUCGGCUUUUUUUUAUUCUUAUUAUCACCUGUUAUUGCUGCUCACCGGUGAGUUUCAAAUCAAUGCCGUAUUUUUCAUUAUGUGAGUUGAUUAUAUCAUGCCAUGGAAAACAUAGAAAACAUAUCUAUAGGGAUAAUUAGAAACAAUAACGCUACACUUGCUUACUAUACCUUUGCUCCGAUGCUUGUGCUUUCUUUGUGCCUUUGUUUGGACAAUAUGUUGGUAUAUCUCUUUGUGCUUGUCAUGCUUCUUUGUUAUGUUCAAAAGGUUUGGGCCUUGAAGAGUCGCCGGGAUGUUUAAACGGGCAAUGUCAUUCUUUAAAAUCAAUAGUUAUUAAUUUAUGGCUUUUAUUUUUAUUUACUUAUUUAUUUAGGUUUGUAAUAUUUCUGUAUAAACACUAUUAUUAUUGUAUAAUAAUUUUGGGGAACUGCCUUGGGGAGUGGGGAUUUACGUGCUCUAUGAAUGGUAUAGAUAGGCACAACUUAGGAUUACGUGCAAUAUGUGUUACAUGAAUCAUUUAGGCACAAAAUGAGAAUUUAUUAACGUAUGAAUCAUUUUCUACAGUUUAUUAAUUAUUCUCGAUCUAACUAAAAUCGACACACCAUAUUAAUUGAUAUUAAGCAUAUUAAUUUAACAUUUGGCAUGUUAAUGUAUUUUAGCAUGUUAAUCAUAUUUACUUGAAUCUAAAUAUAGUACGAAUUCCGAGCACGUUAAUGCGUAUAGCAUGCUAACUUGAAAUUCCCAUGCAUUAACACACGUUUCAACAUGUUUUAAAUAAUAAUUUUCUACACUUUUAGCCUGUCAAAUAAGGGUCAAGUAAGUCAUUGCAUUUUUAGCAUGACAAUACAAUUCAACAUGUUAACAUGAUAGUUUUGACAUACUUUCAGCAUGUGUUAAUAUUAAACAUGUAUUUUUAAAUGCAUUUAGAAUGUUAACAUUGAAUUUCAGCAUAUACAUUAGUGUCCAGCAUGUUAAAAUACUAAUUCUCUAAUUUUUAGCAUGCUUAAUAAUAUUUUCAGCAUGUUUAGUAAUAUUUCAACAUGUUAAAACUAAUUUCAGCAUGUUUAAUAUAAUUUUUAGCAUGUUUAGUAUAACUUUCAGCAUGUUAGCAUAAUUUCCUGCAUUAUCUUCAGCAUGUUGACAUAAUUUCCUGCACUACUUUUAGCACGUUAAAUGUAGAUUUGAGGUAUUCCCAACAUGUUAACUAGUUUAAGUACAUCAUUGCAUCAUACAUUAGUUCAUAACACUCAAUUCGUGAGCAUAAUCUCUUACACAUUUACCGAACUUUGACAUUUCCUUUUAAUCACUCACGAUACAUUGUUGCAUAUGCACGAAUCACAGUUACUUUUUUAUCACACUAAUGAAUGUUGGACACUUAGUAUCAUACCUGUAGGUUAAAAAUAUAAUAAUAAUUACUUGUCUUUGCAUGCUGUCACAUUAAUUAACAUUAAUUAAUCAAGAGUCUAACUUGGGAUUAUUAUGUGCUACUUGUUGUCCAAUGUGUUACGCGCUUCGAGUCCUAGACAACAUAAUUUUAUUUUUGUCUAGAACACAAAUCCAAAAUAGCAAAGUCCAAUGCCUCUUGGACGAUAAGUGGGAUGAUAAGUAUUGCUAAAAGACGUUAGUUUUAUCCUUGUCAUAGAACGACCUUAGACUUGACAUUCAGCUUAGGUAGGGUUGGACGGGUAGUCAUUCAAAAGUGAUGAUCCCAACGGAUAAUUGACGGUAAGAUUAAUGACAUUGUUACUUGUCUAAGAGUUUGACCAGUGAGUCGGACGAUGAUUAAACAAGUUGGGUUCUGAUCCGAAUGAAAUCAAAACAUUUCUUUGUUUGACUUGAACAAUUUCCUUUAGUCUUUUUAUUUACUUUUCAUGUUUAUCUGGGGUAAUUAGUUAUUACAUAACCAGUCCACAUUAUUAUAAUUAUUUUCCUUCUUUUUUCUCGCUUGUCUUGUUUAUAUAUUUUAUCAGUUAGACAAUUAAUAGCUAAAAUAAACGUUUGUUAAUUGCUUUAUCACUUAGCUAAACGUUAUGUUACAAAUAAAAUAAGAUUCUUUAUUUGAUCACAUAGAAUCCCCACGUAAAGUACGAAUUCAGCCGGGAACCACCUUUGUGGACCUCGAAAGGUGCCUAACAUCUUCCUUUUGAGUUAACUUGAAUCCUUACUCAAACUCUGGUGAAUUAAGACUAAACAACAAAAAUAGGUUCAUAGUAGCCUAGAUCGGUGCCCUAACACACCUUAAUACGUUAGGUGGCGAGUCUUCUGACUUUAACUUCAAAACAAUUCCAAAAAGAGUGGUCACCUCGAAUCUUGCUUUUCGUGAGGGAAAUGGGGCAUGACAUACACACAAUUCCGUUUCAUUGAUAAUACAGCUUAGUCGGUGUGCAAAUUCAACAUAUAUGCAUUCAACACACAUACAUGCAUUGUGCAAAUUUCAGAAAUCAGAAAUUUAGUAUGCAAAUUUAAGAAAUCAAAAACCAGAAAUUUAGUGUGUAAAUUCCAGAAAUCAAAAAUCAGAAAUUCAGUGUGCAAAUUCUAGAAACCAAAAAUCAGAUAUUUAGUGUGCAAAUUCCAUAAACUAGAAACUAAUUCUUUUUCAUAUACAUGCAUAUCAUGCCACAACCAUGUUGAUAUUAGAAAAAAAUCAAAUCUGGGAAAUACAUUUUACCACAAAACAAAAAUGUAAUAAUUCAACCCACCUCAACAAAUCUAAUCAACACAAUCACCAAAUACAAGAUUUUUUUACCUUGUUCAAGUUGCUAUAUGUCAUAAGUGCUAGGUUCUUUUUCAAAUUUGGCCAAAUAUAAAUAAAUUAAAAGAAUAAGUCAAAGCUCAAGCAACAAAAAUAUUAAAUAAAUAAUUCUCCAAAAGGUUUUUUUUUAACUUGUUCAAGUUAUUUGAGAGAAUCUAAAUCCUCCUCUAUACUUAUAGGUUAUGAUUCACUUAGAAGCCAAUAUUGUAGAGACACUAGAGCUUAUACCAAUUUAGGAGUUAAUGAACUCCUAAAUGAAUCAAGAAUACACCAAUCGAUACGAAAGCACAUUCUGAUGCUACACUAGAAAUAGGAACAACUAAAAUAUCCUGAGCUAUCUCAGAAAAAAGGGAAAUCUAGCCUAGUUAUAUUUCCACAAAAGUAAUACACUAAAAUUAGAUGUUCCAACUUCAAUAUCUUAUCCAAGAUAUUUAUCCAAUUUUGACUUAGAAUUUCCAGCUGCACUCCCAGAUGUGUGUCUACUCAACUCUUCAUAAAAGACACCAAUACCAACCAUAGAGCUUGAACUAGAAGCCUCUACUUCUGAAGAUAGUUUACCAUCUUUGUCUUUUAAAGCAGAUUGUGAAUACUCUUAAAUAAUGAUUUCAUGUACUAUUGCAUAUCUUUUUCUUUAGUUGGAAUGUUAUCCUCAAAAAUCUUCUUAAGUACAAAAUCAAGAGUGGUAAAUUUGUGAUGAGGAUCCAAAACACAAGGUAUAAAAAACAUCUUAUUCAUUUUUAUUGGAUCCUCCAAAUAUUUUUCAAAUUUCUUCUUCAUUUUUGUUGCCAUUUGAGCCAAUACAUUAUCAUCACUUGAUAUUAAUUUUGUCAAGUAAAAACCAACUUGACAAAUUUCAAGAAAAUGAAUAUUUAAUGUAAUAUACAAUGAUCCAGGUACCUUCAAAGUAAGCUUAAAAAAUAGUGUAAGAAAUUUUUUUAAAAAAUUCACACUAUCCCAAUCACUACUUAAAAGUAUACCUGUAUGUUGUUCAUCCACAAUAUCACUACCACCAUCACACACAGAGAUAUGGCCAAACUUAAGAUGAUGUACCAAAUCAAUAUCAUGAUCAACAUAAUUCAAAAUUGCACCCUCAUAUUCAAUAGCCCCGUUCAACAUCAAGUAGGUGGAAUUUCACCUUGUGGGAACAUAUAAGAAUAAAGACUUAUUUGUAAGAAUUUUAUCUUCACAAUAUUUCUGAAAGUUCUUCCAUCUAGUAGGAGAUUGCCUAAUGUAUCUCAUUGCUUUCCUAAUUCAUUCAAUAAAAACUGUUGUUUCUUUUAUACCAUCCUGAAUGACAAGGUUUAUAAUAUGCUCCAUACACCGAACUUAAAGAUGUUUACCACUAAUAAGAUUGGUCCCCCACUUAGAAAUUGCUUAGACAACUUAACCAUACACACACUAUUUGAACUAGCAUUAUCAACAGUAACUGUGAAAAUCUGAUGCAAUCCCUACUCAUGCAAACACUUAAUAAUGACCUUUGCUAUAUCUUCACCUCUAUGGCUAGAAAUUGGACAAAAAUUGAUAAUUGUUUUAUGAAAAGUCUAAUUUUUAUCAAUCCAAUGAGCAGUAAUACACAUCUAAUUGAUUCUUUACACAUGUAACACCCCACACUUUUGGGCUAGUCUUUGAACCGUCGUUCUUACGUGUAUAAACUAUAAUUCAAAUAAUUUCCAUAUGAAUAUAAGUUUUGUGAUCUUUACUCAUGAUUGAUGUGCUUUAAAGGUAAAAAUAUUCAUAAGAAUCACUUAGAAUAAAGCUGAGCUAAGAGCCUUUGAUUCAUCCAAAAUUUGGUAUUCGAUUCUACAAGGGUCGACUUUGAAUGUGUAUAACUUUUAAUAUAAGUAGAAUUUUGAAGCUCAAUACCCUCCAAAUUAUAAAUAAUUGAGUCAGAUUUCCAAUGAUACCAAUUUUUCCUUAAUCCGAUACCCAACCAAAAAGUUAUGGUAUUUUUUGUGAGAGGUAGCAAGCUAAUGCUAUUAGAGCACGACGCGCCAAUUUCUCAACGUGAUACAUGACAUGACGCGUUGCUCUCCCAACGCGAUGUCUGACGUAAUGCGGAGCUUUUUCACACACUUAUUCAACUUCUUAAGGGUCUAGGGUCACAUUGAUCAUUUUCCCUCACCUAAAUCCGUCCAUAACAAAUAAUUUCAGCCCCCAAGGAGCAUUAGUUUCCCCUUCACUCAUAAUUUAUCUUCAAGAAAGCCUCCCUCUCUCAAGAACAAACCCUAACCUCCAUCCAAAACUUCAAAACUCCAUUGCAAUCUCUUCAAUAUAUACAAGAAUUUAAGUUCUCUAGUUCAAGAGUUUCAAGAUCAUUUCCAAGGGUUUCAAGGUCAAGUUCUCUACGUCAAAUAAAGCCUAUUAAGGUAUGUAGGAGUUCAUCCAUGGGUCCCCUUUCACCCAUGGAGACCAAAAACCCUCUUUUUAACUAAAGAAUGGAUUUUUAUUAUGAAAUUUUGUAUGUUCAAAGAAGAUUAAAUUUCACGUUUGAAUGGUGUUUUUAAUUCAAUUCAGCCCAUGUAUGAUCCCAUGCAAGAUUUGAUUUCCUCAUGGUUUGAAUUUGAGUUUCUCAUGCUUUAUUCAAGUGAAUUCCAUGUUAUAAUGUCAAGUUAUGAUCUUAGCCACAUAAUCAUGUUGAUUUUCCAUGUUUAACAUAUUCCCAUGUUCAAGGUCAUGAUUUCCAUGUGUUUGAUGAAUUGCCCAUGUUUUGGAUUUUGAACUAUGAUUUUCAUACUAUAGUUUUAAGUGUUUAUAUCGUGCUUUAUGGUCAUUAAGUGAUGGUGGAUUAUGAACACUCGAUACCAACGUGUUUUACAUAAUUUUUAGAUUUUCAAGUUUUAUUCAGUUAAACCAUAAUUUAUUCCUAUUUAAUCAGUUAUUAUGAUCAUAAUGAGUACUAUUAGUCAUGAAAUCAUGUUUAAUUAAACUUAUUUCACUUUCAAUCUAGUAUCAGUUUAUACAUUAAUAAUUAUCUCAGAAUUCAUAUGCACUGUUAUUUUCAGAAUACCAUGACCUGAGCUUAUCAGUUAUUAGUUAUCAGUGCAUGCACCUAUUAGUAUUUUAGUGUCUUUAAGUUGGGAGUAGGAUUUAGAAUUGAGUGAACGAAGGGAUAAUGUCUCCCCUAUCAGUUAGGCAUGAGAUAUUAGUAGCAGUCCCUAAGUUUCAGACCUAUGGUGCCACCAUAGAUUUUGAAGGGUCCCCCAUCAGUUAGGCAUGACACCCUCGUCCUUCGGGACAUCAGUUUAGUGAUUGCUACAAUUCAGGUUCUAUUCUGAUGGUAAGGAUAGAACAACCCUCCUCAAUAUGGGUCAGAAGUUGGACUCUAUGAUAGCUCACAUAAUUUAUGUCAGUUAGAUGAUACCUCCCACAGUCUCAGUAUAAUAUUUAAUAUAUUCAGUUCAGGUUUGCUUGACCAAAGCAUACAGAUUUAGAGUUAUUUAGUUAUAUAGAUUUUAGUCUUUAAGAUUAUUAACUUGCUUCAGAUUACAGAUUUAUGCAUGGUCUUGCAUUCUCAGAUAUCAUAAUUUUUAUACAUUUAUGAUUAGUUAUCUCAUGAUGUUCAGUUAGUCCUUAUCUCAUAUGCAUAGUACCCCAUAAUUUCAGUCCAGUUACUUAGAAUAAUUAUAGUUUAACUUUACAUAACCAGUAUACUAUUAUCAGUUAAUAAGUAUAUAGUUAUCAGUUAAUCAGUAUCCAAAUACCAGUUAUUCAGAUGUCAAUUAUUCAGUAUUCAGCUAUCAAUCAUUCUGUUAAUUAGAUCAACUUAGUAUAUGUUAUGUUUGGUUUUAUAUGUUUAUGUAUUUGUGCUCAAUAUACUUGUAUGUUCAGAUCAUUGAGUUGUGUUAGUUUCCAUCAUGUAGUUUUAGACCCAGUAUUUAUAUAGUAUCCAUGUUUUGCUAUUUUCCUGUUUUAGUUCUACUUAUAACUUUUAAGAAACUAAGUGUAGUGAUUCACCAGCUUAUCAGAUUUUGUUUGUUACUCAUGAUUUAAGAUACUUCAAAAUUCAGGAUCUUAGUGAGUCUACUCACACUUGGCAUGCAUAUUUAAGAUUUUCCAUGUGCUAUAUUGUCUCAAAAUGUAGGUACCAGUUAUAGCCUAUGCAUCAUAAUUAGAGAGUUGCAGCUUACAAUCAACAGGUGAUGAGUUCUUCUAUUUUGGGGACUCCAGUCAGAUUUAGUUUGUGUACUGUGUGAUAUUUUUAAUUUUUCAUAUGUAUUGAUAAGUGGUAGUUGGAGGCAUCUCCCAGCUAUCUAUAGUCAGUAUGGUAGAGGCUUCAUAUAUGUCAGUUAGAGUCAGUCAUGUAAUUUCAGUUCUCUCUUCAGUUUUAUCAGAUUGUAAAUUGUAUCAAUAUUAUAAUUCUUCCCAUAUUUUGUCAUGAUUAUCUUUCUGUAAAAAAGAACUAGUUAUUUAAUAUAUUAUUAAUCAGUUGCUUAAUAAUAUGCCAGUUCAUGGGUUAGCUUGGGAUCACUUGUGGUUCUAAGCAUCGUGUUAUGAUUAGGGGAUGGUAUUGGGUCAUGAAAAACUUGGUAUCAGAGCAUAGAGUUCAAGUUUCCUAGGGUGUCUAUGAAGCUGUGUCUAGCAGAGUCUUGUAAAAUGGUACGGAGAUGUCUGUACUUUUCUUCGAAAGGCUAUAGUGUAUUUAGGAAAUAUUUCCCUUAUUUCAAGUCUCAGAUCAUACUAUAGAAAGGUUCUCCAAGAAACUUAUAUAGAUUCUCAUCUUACUCUAUUCAUGCCAUCUCUGCCUUGUUUUCAAGGUAACAGAAAUAAUAAAGCUCAAAUUCCUACAGAUAGAGUUUUCUCAGACAGUCCUCAUAGACAAUUAUGGGAUUGCAUGCAGGCUCAAAAAUAUCCCAUCAUUACCCUUAUGUUAUAAUCUUUGAAAGUGAUCAUUUUUUUUCUGAAAAAUUAUGCACUUAGCCGAAGUUAGAUGUGCUCUCAAGUCCCUUCUCAGAAUCCUAUGAUUGCAUAUGAUCUAGAUUUAGAAGCGUGGAUCCAGAAGUUUAGUAGCAGUAAUGUGGGGAUUGUGUUUGUGUGUAUUUAGUAGAUUAUGUAUCCAUGGGGCUAGUUGCAUGAAAGACGAAUAAGUAGGCUUGAAAUAGUGCAUGCAUAAAUUUAAGGUUGUUGAUCUAAAUUUAAGUAUGAUGAUGUGUUUAUGACCUAGAGGUGUACCCAAGGUGAUAUGGGGUUGUAUUAUUUCUAAGUUUUAAUAGUGUGUGUGCUCAAAUAGUACCCCUGAGUUGUUUUAUGUUAGAAUCUAAGUUUGUAUUCUAGGUGGUUGAGCUAAUAGAAAGAAGAGUUGAAAUUCUUAAUAGUAUGAACUGAGUGUCUGGUGAUACACCUAAAGAUUCUAAGUAAGUAAGUGUUUAAGUUAUUAUAUGAUGACUAUUGGGGCUAUAGAAAGUUAAGAGUUUUAUAUCAGAAGGUAAUACUAGCAUUGGGUUUUACACUCUUAGAUGUAUCAUUCAGGGUAAGUUUGUUAUUUAUGUGUAUUGUUAUAUCUUAGGCUCUAGAAUAAAGUGGUGAUAGCUCAGUUUAGAGUUAUUUAAAAGGGUCCCAUAGACUUAGAAUAAUGGCUUUAAGUUAGAGAGAGAUGAUAAAGUAAGUAACCAAGUCAGGCUCUCAAAUCCUAGUAGUGAUAUCAGUAUGUAUAGAAAAUCAGUAAGGGAGAAUGAUUCCCAGCCUAUUCUUAUCUCAGUAUAAAGUUUUCCAGUCUUCACGACAUCUACUCAUGCCUUACAUGUCAGCUCCAUGAUCAUAGUUUAUGCUCAUGCACAUCAUAGAGAAAUCAUGUACGCUUCCAGAUCCUUGUAUGAUGAGUUCUAGUUCACUUAGUAGUAAGAAUUAUAUUCCAUGUAAUUAUGAACUCCAUGCUCAGGUCAUGCAACUCAUGACUCAUGUACCCAUGCUUUAUAGUAUGUUCAGUUCCAGGUACUCAUGUUAUACUUCUAAUGAUCGAUGAAAUUUAGUUUAUGUCAUGUAUGCCCUUAGUUUAGAUAUCUCUGAUGAAUCUAUGAUAUUGAUACUCUUUUUUUCAGGCCUCAGUAAAGUGUCAACUUAUGCAUAGUAUCCCUUCAUGUUUUAGGUCCUCAUGUUCUAACUUUUCAGUGAUCUUUCCUUAUGUCAUAAUGGUGAUGGUGAUCAGUUGUUUAGAUGGGAGAGUGUAUAUGUUUCAUGUUAGGAAAAAUUAUUGUAUUCUUGUUUGAUCUAAGGUUCUAAGUGUGAGGUAAGAUUGAGGCCAAGUUCUUGAUAUAAGUCAUGGUUAGUUGAAAUUUUGUGUGUAUUUUCUUAGGGAUAGUGAAUGAAAGUUGUUAUUGAUAGAGGUAUUAGACAAUAAGAGAAAGAUGCUUUUGUGGUUGUUUGUCUAGAAGUUCGUGUGUGGUUAUGAAGAUAGGCUUGACUGUCAUGUUGAUGUAUAUGUGGAUGAAUGCAUUGCGCACUAGUGAGUUCAUGGUAAAAAUUUGAAGUUAGUUGUUGAAGUGGGAAUGAGUAUUAUUCUUGAGAUGAGAAGUUAUGAAAAUGCAGGGUGUAUUGAAUUCAUGAUGCAGACUAGUAUUAUACUAUUAUGUGUGCACCUUGUAGAUUUGAGUAGGCUUGAUCAUAGUGAGAGAAUUCAGUUCUGCUCAGUCUUCAGUAGAUAGAGUUAUUAGUUCCCAUGAGAAUAUUUUAAGUAGCCUCAGGUGAAGUGCAGUUUUAAAGUGGAAUGUAUAGUUGAGACUAAGAUUUCAGUAUGAGCUAGUCCGUAUAUCCAGCGAUUCAGUUUAGUAGUCAGACGGAUAAUUUCCUAUGGUUUUCUAUCUUUAUUAUUCAUGAGGUAAGUCAAAUCCAUGAAAAUUUUGAAUUCAUCUCAGUUCAUGCUUAUGCAUCAAUUUUAGAUUCCAAAUAUUCAGUCAUGAUUCAGUCCAUAAGUAUCCCAUGCAUCAUCUCAGUCUUUCUUUAGUAUUUUAGCCAAGUCAGUAUCAUUCAAGGGAUGAAGAAUACCAAGGAGGAUAUGUAAUACCCCGAGUAUUCAUGUCCUAAAUCUUUGAUAUUUUCUUCAUGAAAUAAGAUCCAACUUGAAGUAUACUCAUUAGUUGACUCUCUCGUUCUAUCUCAGCCUUAUAACCAUUCUCAUGUCAUUGCAUGUAUUUAUGAAAUCAUUUUGGUUCAUGUAUCAUGCUCAGACUAAGUUAAUAAGUCAUAUUGAAAGUCAUGCAUGUUCAAAAUACGAUCUCAGUUACCUUCGUACAUUAAGCUCAGUCUAACCAGUCUCAUUCGAGGACGAAUAUUCCCAAGGGUGAGAUAAUGUAAUACCCUGUAUUUUUGGGCUAGUCUUUAAACCAUCGUUCCUACAUGUAUAAACUAUGUGAAUAUAAGUUGUGUAAUCUUUAUCCUCGUGAUUGAUGUGCCUUCGAGGUGAAAAAAUGUUCAUAAGAACCACUUAGAACAAUGUUGAGCUAAGAGCCUUUGAUUCGUCCAAAAUUUGGUAUUCGAUUCUAUAAGGGUCAACUUUGAAAGUGUAUAACUUUAAAUAUAUGUAGAAUUUUGUAGUUCAAGACCCACCAAAUUAUAGAUAAUUGAGUCAGAUUUCCAGCGAUACCAAUUUUGCCUUAAUUCGAUACCCGUGAGAGGCAAUAAGCCAACGUGAUUGGGGUGCGGCACGCCGAUUUCUCGAUGUGAUACUGAACAUGAACAAAUGAAACAUAAGUACAUGACUGACAUUAUUGAGAUUCAUGUUGAUCAUGCAUAUCUGAUGCAUGGUUUUAUGGAUGAGCUGAUACAUGAUGCAUGACUGAGAGUACUGAUAAGCUGAUAACGCAUAUUUGAUGCGUGACUACAUGACUGACCUGAUGCAUGAACAUAUGAUUGAAUAUACAAUGGUAAAUGGAUACCAAUUUUAAAAUGGGAAUCUGAGCAUGAAAAUGGUUUGUUACUGGAAUAUGAACAUGAAUCUAAAAAAGCUUUAAGGAAAGCUAUUACAUUAGGCUGAGUCUGAGUUUGCGGAGAAGAGGUGAGGAUACUUGGUCCGCAUGUCUAAUUAUGCUUCCCAAGUUGCUCGCUCAAUGGACUGACUCUGCCUAACAACUUUGACUAGAGGGACUUCUUUGUUCCUCAAUCUAUGAGUCUGAUUGUCAAGAAUUUUGACAGGAAUCUCUUCAUAAGAGAGGCUGCUCUGAAUGUCUAUGCCCUUAACAGGGAUUAUGACUCCUGGAUCACCUAUGCACUUCUUGAUCAAGGAGACAUGAAAGACUGGAUGGACUGAAGCUAGAUCUGAAGAAAAUUUGAGCUCAUACGCUACCUUGCCGAAGUGGCCCAAAAUUUUGAAGGGACUAACAUAUCGGGGAUUGAGCUUUCCCUUCUUGCCCAAUAUCUUCACUCCCUUCAUUGUAGAGAUCUUUAGAUAAACAUAAUCACCAAUCUCGAACUCGAGAUCCUUCCUGCACACAUCUGUGUAAGACUUCUGUCGGCUCUGAGCAGCCCAAAGUCUUUCUCUAAUCAACUGGACUUUUUCUAAGGCAUCGAAUACUAAGUCAGGACCUAUAACUGAGGCCUCACUAACUUUGAACCAACCGUCUAAAGAUAUACAUAUCCUACCAUAGAGAGCUUUGAAUUGAGCUAUUCGAAUACUAGAAUGAUAGCUGUUGUUGUAUACAAACUCAAUCAAAGGCAAAUGGUUAUCCCAACUCCCCUUGAAAUCAAUUGCACAUGCUUGCAGCAUAUCUUCUAAAGUCUUGAUGGUCCUUUCUGCUUGAUCAUCUGUCUGAGGAUGAAAGGCUAUACUGAGAUGAACUCGGGUACCAAGACCCUUUUGGAACACUUUUCGGAAAUGAACGGUGAACUGGGUACCUCUAUUUGAGACAAUAGCUAAUGGAACACCGUCCAAUCUAACCAACUCCUUGAUAUAGAGUUUGGCGUUACCCUCAGUUUAAUAGGAGGUAUGGACUGGAAGGAAAUAAGCUAAUUUGCUCAUUUUGUCUACAAGGACCCAAACUGAAUCAUGCUGAUGACGAGUACAAGGAAAACCCAUCACAAAGGCAUUUUAUCAAAUACAUGGGGAGCAUACUUUGGUUAUACCAUCAUCAAUGCAUUUAAUUAUCAUGCUUGCAUAAAUCAAUUUGCAAUUUGAAGGGUUUAUGUCGAAUAUUAUGCAAAUUAUCACGUACUAGGAUCAAUCAUUGGAAUAUGUACUUUAAAACAUGAAUCAAAACCCAACAACAACAUAUAUAUAAAUUUUAAUUCAACUAAAUCAUGAACAUUCAUAAAUACACAAAUAUUUGGAUCUUUGAAAAGAGAUUCUUAAGCUUCAUGGGUGAAAGGGACCCAUGAAUCAACAUUUCACAUACCUUAAAACAUAAUUCCUUAAAGGUUCUUGGAUAAAUUCUUGAGCUUGACCUUGAUUAUUGAGAUCUAGGGUUUUGUUUCUUGGGAGAGAAUAUUCUUGAUUUGGGGAAAAAGUGAGUAAAUAAUAAUUUAAAACAUUUUUAGGGAUUAAAUCUGCACCUGGAUGUGUUAAAACCUUAGGGAAAAGACCAAUUUAUCCCUGGAAGAAAUGUUUAAUUUUCGUCAAAAUUUUUGACUUAUCAGGAUGGUGCGACGCGGCGCUAUCGCACUGUGUCUCUGGAAAAUGACAACUAGGAAAUUUAUGGUGGUGCGACAUGGUGAAAUCACGUUGCAAUACUGGAUGGGACCUAGAAGUUCACCGCGAUGAGGUGGUAUCGCGCUAAGACACUGGAAAAAGGACAAUUCUAAAUUUGAGCCUUGGCGCGAUGUGCCAUAAUCGCGGAGGCUCACUGGAUUUUGAUGAUUUCCAUUUUGGCAUGCUCCGUGAUGCAUUGAUGGCUCAGGUAGAACACUAUUUUACUAAAAUGACUCUAACUCUUCGCUUGGGUGUCAGAUUUGGACGAAUUUAGUAUCGAUGGAAAGCUUAUUCAAUUUUUCACAUAACAAAAGUCAAACUCUUGAAAAUUCCACAUGUAUAAAAGUGGAUUCAUCUUUUAAAGUAAGUAUUUAAUAUUUUUUAGUUGAAUUUAAGAUAGGUAGAAGUUCGGGGUAUUACAAUAAUAUGCAGUCACUUUUGAAAUAGGUUUUCUAGACAUAAGAAUACCUUGUCCAGAUUCAGAUUUAAUGUACCUUAUAACUCUCAAAGCUGCUUCCAUAUUAGAUUUCUUGGGUUGUUGUAGAUACUGACUUAGUGUUUGAACAUUAUAAGUAAUGUCAGGCCUAAUUACUAUUAGGUACAAGAGUUUUCCUCGUUGUUGCAUAGAUCAGGUUGGAGCAAGGUGCCAUCGAACAUUCAAUAGGAAGCAUCACGAUCGGGCACUCAUGCCCUGACCUAUGUACCAUACUCUUUUUGUACCGCGGAAAGGGGGUCCUCCUUGUGAUGGUUUUUGUUAGGAGCUUACAUCAGUCAGUAGUGGAUCUUUUUCUGUAUUGCAGCCCGAGUGCUCAUCAUAUUCCUUUAUAGUCAGUUUGAUAUUUGUGUCUAUAGAGGUAGUAAUAGGUUUUAAUCUUACUAGUCCAAGAUCAAACAUUAGUUUAAAAAGUACUUUCUCUGAUUCAUCAGAAUUCCUUCUUUGGAUUUGGCAAAUUUAAUUCCAAGGAAGUAUUUUAGUUCUUCAAGCUCCUUCAUCUUGAACAAUUAUUGCAGUUCCUGCUUUGUUUCUUCAAUUAGAAUUAGACUCUCUUUUGUAACCAACAUAUCAUCUACAUAGAUGAGUAUCAUAACAGUUCCAUGCUCAGACCAUACACAUAUAGAGAAAUUGAUCAUACUGGCUUUGUUUGAAGUUAAGACUUAGUAGUGCUUUAGAUAGUUUGGCAUUCAAUUAUUUUAGAGUUGUUUCAUCCCAUAUAAGGAUUUAAUGAGCCUACAAAUAGGUUUGUGACCUGGUUUGUGCUCCCCACUUCUCAGAAAUCCCUGUGGAAGUUUCAUGUAGAUCUCAUAAGUGAGACCACCUUGCAAAAAAGUAUUAUACACAUCUAUUUAGUGGAUGUGCCACUGCCUUGAUGUAACUAAGGCUAGUACUAUUCUAACUAUGACUAUCUUGAUUAUAUGAGAAAAGGUUUCCUGAUAGUCAAUACCUUUUUGUUGGCUACAACCCUUGGCUACAAGCCUGGCCUUGAACCUUUCUAUUUCUUGAUAACUUGUACUUGAUCUUGAAUAUCCACUUACAACCAAUAGUUCUCUUUUCUUUAGGUAGACUGACUACAUCCCAAGUAUGAUUGCUUUGUAGUGCAGAGAUGUUAGCUUGCAUUAACUCAAUCUAUUUAGGAUCUUUGAUAGCUUCUGAGUAAGAUUUAAGUUCUGUAAUAGCAAAACAAGCACAUAAGUAAUCUUUGUAGCGAGUAGCUAAUUUAUCAUAUGGCAAGUAAUUAGAGAUAGGAUAGAGUGUAUCUUAUUUUUAAGUCAAAGACAAAGUAUUUGAGCCAAAUAGGUGGUUGUUUGGUCCUUUCUGUUCGACUAGAUAGUAUUGGAUCAUGAUUAGUACUCUCUUGUUGUGCAUGAUAAUCAGUAGAUUCUUGAGGCUCUUGCAUUUUGUGGUACUAGAUCAACUUGGUUAGGUACCUGUUCAUUUCUAGUAACUACAAAAGGUAGGUUAGUAGAUGACUUAUCAGUGUAAUAGUAUAAGACAGGAUUUGUGGAUUGAAAUAAAGGUGAUUCUGCACUAUUAUUCAUAAAAAGAAAGACAUCUUACUUAAAUACUACAUCUCUAUUCACAAAGAAUGACUUAGUGAUUAUAUCAUAUAAUAGGUAACUUUUUUAAACCUUAGAGUAUCCCCUGAAUAUAGCAGGUUUAGUUCUAGGACCUAGUUUAUCAAACUGUUGGUCAAUCUUUGCAUGACUUAGGCAUCCUAAAACUCUCAUGUGAGGUAAAGAAGGUUUUUUGUUGUAUAGUUUUUCAAAAAGUGACUUUUCUAUUACUGAUGAUUGGAGUCUAUUAAUGAUAUAGACAACAGUUAAAACACAAUAUCCCCAGAAUUUGAUUGGAAUGUGAGCUUGAAACCUAAGUGCUCUUAUCACUUCUAAGAUGUGUUUGUGUUUUCUCUCAGCUACCCCAUUUUGUCAAGCAGAAUAUGCACAUGACCUUUGGUGAAUUAUACCCAAGCUCUUAAAGAGAUUAGUGCAUAUAUCAUUCACAAAUUCAGUUUCAUUGUCUGUUCUACAAAUUUUAAUAGUUUUAGUGAAUUGAAUUUGAACAUAUAUAAGGAACUGUUUAAUAGUCUCACAAGCAUCAGAUUUCAACUUUAACAGAAAUAUCCAAUUCAUUCUAUUAAAAUCAUCCAUAAUAGUCAAGAAAUAUUUUUUACCAUCAAUUGUAGGAGUUUUAUAAGGACCCUACAUAUCCGUCUAAUCAUAUCAAAUGCGCUAGUACUUUUAGUACUACUAGAGGGAAAUGAAAAUCUGACUUGUUAGCACCAGGACACACUGAAUAUUUGUCUAUGAUUUUAGUUAUAGAUUCAAACUUGCUAGUUAGUAGUUUAGUAAGUACAAUAGGUGUUACUUGACCAAAUCUCUUAUUCCGAAGAUCUAUUUCCAAGUCAGACAUAUGGAUAUACUCCUUUGUGUUAUUAGCAGCUAGCUUGGUUUCAUCAGUAGUAGAUCCAGAGUUUUUAUCGAGCAGAUAUAAGACUUUUUCUAGUUUACCAAUAUCCUUCACCUUCCACUUGAUAGAUCCUAAAAAAUACAAAAGUCAGGAUAAAAUAAAACACCACAGUGUAGCUUUCUUGUGGCUUUAGCUACAGACAUUAAGUUGUUUUUGACCUGUGGAAGUAAGUAAACAUUUUCUAGCCUACUUUUAUCAGAAAUAGUGCUUGAACUAUUGUGUGUGACUAGUGAAACAUCUCUAUUUGAAAGGUGUACAAUUUUAGGAUGAGUUUGUUCAGUAAUGGAGUCUUUGUGAAGCAUAUUUACAUUAGACACUAUGUAAUUAGUGGAUCCAAUAUCUAUAAUCCAGUCAGUAUUAUUGUUACAGACUAGGCAUACACUUCUUAUACCUGAACCUUUGAUGUUACUUGAUGUGUCAACGACAUUGGUCAUAUUAGAACUAGCUUGAGAGGAAGAGCUCUUGUGUAGCACCUACAAAAUUUGAUCAUAUUGAUCCUUAGUGAAUACACAUGCUCCAGGUUGCAUCUGUAUACUUUAUUUAUGAUGACCUCUUGAAUCAUAUUCUUGCCUCUAUUUUCUUUGAUAUAGAAUUAUAACAUUAGCAACAACAUGUGAAUCUUUUCCCUAACUAUACGAUGGAUCAAACACCUGAUCAGUUUGUACAUUGAAGAUUCCUGUAUUAUUGUUAUCAGUAUUGAACCCUCUCUAAUUAAAACCUAUAUGACCACUACUUAGUCCUUCUAUAAACUUUCACUUCUUGUAGUUUGGUGGAUACACCCCCAGUUUGUAACAAUAUUUUUUCACAUGCCCCUUAGUUUACAGUAGUCAAACUACAGUUGUAGUCUUUCUUGAGUUUCUGCAAGCCUGAUAUAUUCUUGGAGUAGAGUGCAGAAGUCUCAUAAUGAGAUUCAAUUGAUGAGGGUCCAAUAACUAAUAAUCCAAUAGAAAAAUUAAUAAUAAACUUCUAUCCUUCAUCAUUCAAGAUCAUUGCAUAGGCCUGAUUCUCAGUUGGUAGAGGAGUCAUCAACAAAAUUUGGCUUCUUACUUAUUGGUAGGUAUCAUUGAGCCCCAUCAAGAAUUGAUAGAGUUUUUGUCUCUUUAAGUAAGUCACAAAAUCCCUCGACCUAACACACUCACAAGUAGGGGGUGGAACUAAAGAUUCUAGUUCAUUCCACAAGCCUUUCGAGUUUGGUAAAGUAUACUGACACAAAUGAAGUGCUUUGUGUUAAAGAUUUGAUCUAUUUGUGCAGAUUAAAAGUUCUUGAACCAUUUAAUCUAUCAAAUCUUUCUGUCAAAUCAUCCCAAACAGCAUAUGCAUUAAAAUAAUAAACCACACAACUCAAUAAGCUAUUUGAGACAGAGUUCAUUAACCAAGACAACACAAUUGCAUUGACCCUUUCCCAUUGCCCCUAUAGUUCUUCCCCAAACAUUUCUUUAUUACAUGAGCCAUAUACCAAGCCUAAUUUAUUCCUUCUUAAUAAGGCUAUUCACAUGGAUCAACUCUAAACUGAGUAAUUCUCAGUACCAAUUAACUAAAUAGAGAUGAGGGAAACUUUAUUUACAUCAGAUGCAUGCAAGAAGAGACGGUGCUUUGAAUCUAUUCCCUGUGUUGCUUGUGAACUAGUUCUAACAUUUCUUGGUGCAGGAAAUUUUUCUUGCAUUUCUAUUAUUAGAGCUUGACAACUUCUUGAUGAAUCUUGAGCUUAUCAAUAGCCGAGAUACUACAAUCUCAGAGAUAACUGCUCUGAGUAUGAACAGAUUAUGAACCAGAACAUCAAAGAUAAGAUGAGCGAGUUUCGUUAUUAGAAUCUCCUCUUGCUCUGAAAUCAUGAACUGAAUCAGUUCAUCAAUGAUGAACUUACAGAUUUUGAGAAGACGAAGAUAAAGAAGAACAAGAGUAGUUUAACUAUUGAAUAAUAAUGAUGUGUUUACAUGAAGAGAUAGUACUCCUAUUUUUAGACUUAGUAGUUAGUUCAUAGUUAACUAACUUAUAUGUUCUUAACUACCUUCUUAACUAACCUAACUAACUUCCGGAACUUUCCUAACAACACCAAUGUGGUACAUGUAGAGUAAGAGAAGCUAAGUAACAUUCCUUCCAUCAACAGAUACAAACCUUGUAAUUAAGUAGUUACCUUUUUGUCAUGGAGAAAAGUCUAAAGUAUUAACAUCAUAUGUAAAUAUUAUCCUCUCAUGAAUUAUGUUAAAAUUUCAUGAUCUAAAAUAUUUUUGCAUAUAAACAUCUUGCCAAUUAUAUAUGUUUACCAGUUUUCUUUGUGGUAAUGAGAUUUAACAAUAAAAAAAUAUACAUCAUAAUAAAAGAAAAUUCACCUAUACAGACUGUUAAGUUUUGGAAAGACAAAUCGAACUGAUCACCCUUGCAAUAUGGUUUUCCAUUAACGUGCACUGUUUAAAGUUAUUGUAUUAUUCCCAAUUUAUUUAGCAUACUCCAUCCAUUUCAUUUUAUGUGCUGUCAUUUUGUUUUUGUCUGUCCAAAAACAAAGUCAUCUUUUCUUAUUUGGUUACUACUUAAAGACACAAUUUCAUUUUUAUCCUUAUUGGUCCCACAUAUUGUAAUGCCCCGCAAAAUCCUCUUCCAGUCUGAGCCUUAGAGCGUAUUUGGUAAAGCAAAAAAUCUGAGUCUAAAUGUUUAAUAAAUAUCUUCCCAUGUAUGAAAUACUUUGAAUUGUGUGGGAAUCUAUUUUAGCAUAAAUUAAGAUCAUAGAGGUCCCCUAACUCAAGGACGAGUUUAAAGCUUUUCUAUCGUUCAAGUUUUAGUGAGCAUCAAAACUUUGGUCAACUUGACUCAACCAUAACUCUUUGUAUAUAUCGAAGUAGAGGACCUACUAUAUAUUAAAUUAAAUCUCUUUGAAUUAUAUUUCCAACGAUACUAAUUUUGUCAAAAACCGAUAUCGGAGCAAAGAGUUAUGCCCAUUUUACUCCAGCAUGUCAGACUGAAAAACUGAGUGAAAACAUUCGUGAUAAGCUGUCACGAGCGUGACGACCUAUCACCAAUGUCGUCAUCCCUGGGCAGAUUUCUACCUCUGGUGACGACAUUUUGUGAAAAUCCAUCAUUCCCGUGACGUCUUAUCACCAAUGUCGUCAACCUUAACCAGAAACUCAAAAUUUUACACUUUUGUGACGACAUUUCAUAAAGACUUAUGACCAACUUGACGGCUUGUCACAGAUGUCGUCAACUAUUUUUUCAGCAAUUCAAGGACAUUUUUACAAGGGUAUUUUGAUCUUUUCUUAUCUUUUGGAGGUCUCUAUAAAUAUGAGGAACCCCAUCCAAAUCCUAAUUUCAUCAUUUACUCUUCCAAUUCUCUCAAGAGAAAAUAUCUAUGGUUUCAAUUCAAGAACCCUAAUCUUCUAAAAAUUCAUCCAUAAAUCUUCAAGAUUUCUUUAAGAAUCAAGUACCUCAUAGUGUGGGCUUCGAGAAUCAUUUAUUACUAGUGCGGAUAGAGUCUUAAGAAUUAGAAUUCAUCCAAUUUCAAAGAUUAAGGUAUGCAGAUAUUGAUUCUUGGGUUCCUUUCAUCCAAGAAGCUCAAGAACCCUUUUUAAAACUCAAAGAUUUUUUAUGUUUAUGAGUUGUUAAUGAUUUGUAUGAGUGAUGUUGAUGUUCAAUGUGUUUUUGAGUUUUGAUUUAUGUUUGUUUACAAGAUUUAUGAGCUUUGACCCUAGUAUGUGGAACUCAUGUGAUGUUUGUGAUAGACCCUCUUAAAGUUGUUUUCUAUGUGAUAUGUUCAUGACUUUUGGGUGUAGAAAUGAUUGAAUAAGUGAAACAUGUCCCCCAUAGGUUUGAUAAAGAGCUUAGGUGAAGCAUAAGGGCCAUUAUAGUAUGUUGAAUAGGAAACCCCAAAUUGUCUAGUCCAUGCAUGCCUAGUGUUUGAUAAAAUGCCUUAGCAAAUGAAUUGUGCCACAAUAGUAUGGAAAUUCUCAAAUAAGUGUGAACCCGUGCAUGUCUAGUGUUUUGUUGAAGGACCUUAGUGAAUAAGUGGGGAUGAGAUAGUAGUAAAUUCCCCAAUUAUAUGCUCUUUGAUAUAUGCUAAGAUUUUAAUACAUGUCAAGUGGUUAGCAAGUAAGUUGUGAAAUGAUAGUAUGAAGUUUUCCAAAAUCAUGUGAUAUCCAAACACAUGUCAAGACUGAUAUAGGUAUGAAAUAGUUGAGGUAAAACCUUGUUGAAUAGAGUACGAUCUAGUAGCAUAUUUCCCCUACGUUAUUAUAUGAUUAUGAUUUUGAGAUGCCUAAAGUGAAGCAACUGUGAUGAUGAAUAAACAUUUGUGAUCCUUAAAUGCUUGAGGUGAUGUCUUAAUGAUUAUGGGAAUGAACAUAUGACAUGAUUCUUAAUUACUUGUGAAGAUGCUUUAAUGCUUGUAAUGAUUAACGAAUGCUUGUGAUGAUGAAUGAAUAAUUGUGGUGAUGACUAGUCAAGAAUGAUUAUGCUUUAGUUUUAUGUUAUCGAGUCCUGGGGUAUUUAUACCCGAUAAUAGAGCUGUUGUCUAAAGUCCGUGCCAAUUUUUCAAUAAUGCCAGUCGAGUCAUGAUUCUCAGAACUCAGUGAACUAUAGAACUCUGUAUCCCCAGACAAGUGCAGAACUUAAGAAAGCUCAGUAAUCUCAGUUAUCUCUGUAGUCUCUGUAUCACUAGUAAUCUAGCCUCAGUCCUGUAAUCAGCUCAGAUCUAAUAGUAUUCAAGUGAUUCAAUUCUAAUCUCAGAAGCGAUUCGAGUAAUCUAUUCAAGAUCUAUAUCGUCAGUUAGAUACCAUGAUUCGAUACCUUUUUCGUCAGAUAUGGAACUAAGUAAUCUCAAUGUAACUCAGUCAGAUCUUUUGAGAAACAUGAUCAGUAUCAGAUUCAGUUUAGUUAUGUUCAGUUAAUAUUUCAGUUUAGAGUUUUUCAGUUGGGAGUAGGAGCUAGCACCAAGCGAGGGAAGGAAUGACGGCUCCCCGUCAGAGAGGCCGAGUCGUUAGGAGCAAUUCCUGAACUCUAGAACUGCAUAGCUAGCGCAAGAUGCAAGAGUCCCCGUCAGUAGAGGCUGUCACCGUCAAAGAGGUUUGACUAUUAUAUUGCCUCAGGCCGACUUUCUGCCAGGGUCACCCGUCAAAGAGGCUUGACCAGAGAGGUCUUUACCCGUGGCACGGUAUUGACACCCUUCCAGUUGGGGUUACAGUUUGGACCCCACUUGUGGUAGGAUGGGGCAUGUUGAUUAAGUAACUAUUUCCCACAGUUGCAGUUCCAGUAUCAAUCUUCAGAAAUUAGGACUGUGUGGUAUAGUCGUCUAUCUCAUUGAGUAACUCAGAUAGUUCCAUUGAUUCAUGAAUCAUCCCAUCAGAUAGGCUUGGUAUCAUAUACAGAUUCUCAUUAUCAUAUCUAGAGAUCUCUCAUCAAAGAGGCUUGAUCUCAGUCUCAGACCAUGUUGAGUAUUCUUAUUAUCAUAUCUAGAGAUCUCCCGUCAGAUAGGCUUGAUCUCUAUCUUAGAUUCUGUUGAGUAUUCUUGUUGUCAGAUUUAGACAUGACCAUACUUCUUAUCAUUGAUAAUCGCUCCUGGAAUAAUUUGAUAGAAAAGUUGAUCUCUAAUUUUGUCAGUCGAAAGCAGUAAGCUCAGAAUUCAGUCCUUGAUGUAAGUAUAUCCAGAUUCUCAGUCAUCAGUAUCAGAUGAGUCAGUGAUUCAGUAUCUCAGUAUCAGUAGUAAGUUCAGUCUGCAGUAAAGUGAUAUCUGAGUUUCAGUAUCUAGAGUUGCGAUGAUUGUGUUCAUGGUUUGUGCAUUAGUAUAUGUGUUCUCAUGCGGAAUCUUCAUGAUUAUUCAGUUUAGAUAUUGUGCAUGCAUGAGCCCUUGCAUUAGCCUACAUCGUCUACAUACUCGAUACAUUCCUGUACUGAUGUAUUUACUCUAUGCUGUUUUAUUUGACACCAUAGGUUCAGAGGCACAAGAUCCAGAGUAUCCUUAGCAGUUCAAUCCCAGUCAAUAGCAGUAGCAGUGAGUCCUCUUCUUUCGAGGAAGAAUCUCAGUUUAUUAUUAUUGCUUCAAACUUUGUUUAUUUUUAGUUGACGGAGUUUGUUGGGUACCUAUCCCAUCAACUCCACAGUCCAGAUAGUUUAAAGGAUUUUGAGAUGGAUGUAUUAGUAUUUAAUUUUCUGUAUUAUGAGUAUUCAUGGAUGUGUUGAACCUUAUGGCUAGGUUCCAUAUUUAUUUCAGAUAUUAUGCAGUGUACAGGUACAGAUAUCAGUAAAGGGUUAGCUUGUGGUCCUUCGGGGUCAUAGACAUCGUGUGACGUCUCGGGAUGGGAUCUCGGGGCGUUACACAUAUAAGGUCUCUCUUAAUUAAGAAUACUAGUAGUACAUUUUUUAAUAAAGGACAAUUUGAUAAAAAUCAUCAAGUCUUUUCUUAUUUAUUAAAUUCUAUGCUCGAUCAAAUUAUGACACACAAAAUAGAACAGAGGGAAUAUUUUAUUUUUCAUCCCGGUUAAAAAUGACCAUAGAAACACAUAUAACAUAUUUUCGAUUAUGUAACGCACCGAGAACCUAUCUCGAGCCAUCACAUGGUGCUCAAGGCCACACGUGGCCUCAAGCUAACUCUCUAAUCCUGUCAUCACCUUCAGAACUCUCUACGACAUGAAUCAUCAUAAAGUAGGGAAGAAUCAUCAUGACAUGAACAUACUGAGAUACAAAGUAAUACAUUUCUGUACAAAAAAAAUACUGAAAUCUCUGUAUAUGCUGGAACACUAGUCUUACAAAGCCUCUACUUCAUAGGACUGAUGAGCCAUUGGGACAGAUCCCCAACUGACUCGUACUGAACUGAAAGUAAACAACCAUCUAUUAAUAAGAUAAAAUCGAAGACACAGGUCCUCGAACCAUGAGGACUCACCAACCAUAGAAAUAUAGAUGAAGGUACUCAAAGAUCACUGUUGCUGCUGAAAUUGAGCACCUGAACCUAUAUCAUGAGAAAAUAUAGAAUACAAAAGAGAAUGGGAGUCAGUACUUGGGAAUGUACUUUGUAUGUGGGAGUGGAUGCAAUAUUUUAAAUAAUAUCAUAAAUGUAUAAGAAAAUCAUGCAUGCUGACAAUAUAACUCUCUUCACUUGAAUUAUCUAAAACAUCAUUUCCGUAAGUCAUCAGUAAUAACAUAUGCUUCAUAAAUGUCAUAAAUCAUUUAACUCAACUCAAAAUCUUUGAAUCAUGACUUAGAGUAACUCGGUAUCUCAUGGUACUUAGGUCAUUAUGGACGUGGGAGUUUCUUAUAACCGACAUAACUACACCAUGUGAACCACAUGAAGUCCAACAUUUUUCCCUCCUAAGGAGAGAACCCCACAUUGGCGGGGGUGUUGUACUCUUUCCAGGGAGUACAACCUCAAUCUCGUUAUCACAAUCCCAUACUUGGCCUCUGUCCCAUAAUUAUCAACAUCAAUCCUACGGUGGCACGUAGUUUUGGGAAAAUACCAAAUUUCCUGCUCGGUGCUAAAUACUCCUCCCAGACUCAGCUCAGAACGCGUUAGAAAAUCUACCUUAAUCAAUAUCAGCUCAUGGGUCUAUCAUAGAGACCAAAACAUAAAUAUAUCUCAUGUGUAAAUCAUGAAAAACUGUGGAUUCCUAACUCGACUCAAAAUUAAAAGAAUUUUUCUCAACAUCAAGUACAUUUGCUUUUUGAAUCAUUUCAAAUAUCAAAAGCUUCAAGGAAACAUCAUAGGACUCAGUCUUGUCUUUCAAUCUCAAAUAUCGAUAUAUAUUCAAUAGUCAAAUUUCUCAUGGAAAGGCAUAACUAAUGACACUUGUCUUAAAUCGCUUAGAAAUAAACAAUACGUAAUGACAAUAUACAACUCAAGGAAUAAAUUCUCAAUUAAAGAAACAUGAUGGUGAAAUAAUCAUAAAUAUCAAACUUAUUCAACUCAAAUCUCAAAAAUCAUAAAUAAAGAAAUUUGGGUUUAAAUCCACUUGCAAAAUCAUGUAAAUCAGUAAUAGAAAGUAAAUCUUUAUGCACAAGAACGAAAGGAGUGUUCUUGUUAAAACCCCACAUACUUUGGAUUAUGAUUUUGGAGAUGUAGAAACUUGAUAUAAACUUAUUUAUAGCAUUCUUGAGCUAAAUUUCUUGAUGCCUUUAAUUAGGAAAGGUUGAUUCUUGGAUCACUUUGAAUCUCUAUGGAAGAUUCUUGAAUUUUCUUAGAAGAAGAUUGAAUGUUUGGGUUUUGGAAGAAACCCUGAUUUCUAGAUGUUUCUUGGUAGAGGAAAGGAGAAAAUGAAGGGCUAUUCUCUACUAGGAUAUAUAUAUAAGACCUUAUGGGGCGGAAAUAACCAAAAUUUCCUUUUGAAAAAGUUGAAAUUCGCUGAUCGGGGCCUGUGACGGUUGAUCUGACGGUCCGCAAGUCUCCUGACAGUCCACCAGAUCGUCCAUCACUCGAGUACCAAAACUAAAAUAUUCUGCCUCGAUGUGACGAUCGAAGUGAAGAUCCAUCAGGAAACUAACAGACCACCAUGUCAUUCGUUACUCGAGGGCCAGAAAUGAGACAUUCUGUCUCGACCUAACGGAUCCUUUGACGGUCCGUUAACUCUUUGACGGUCCACCAACUUGGCCGUCGCAUGAUGGCCUAAAAAAGGAGUCACUGCCUUGGCUUAAAGGGGCACUUGACGGUCCACCAGAGAUCUCUGCCAGGUCAACCGUCAAACCUGGGCGAUCCGAUAUCGUUCAGUAAAAUGGCCAUAACUCCCUCGCCUGAUGUCAGAUUCCAAUAAAAUUAGGACACCGUCUCACCUAAAGGAUCAAUGGGUUGAGUUCAUUUGUUAUUUCUGUGAGCUCUACGAGGAGGUAUUUUCUGUCAUAAGAAAGGACGAAUUAACAACAAAGAAAAAUAGUCAUAAACACGAUAGACUCUUGAAAUAAAGAAAUAACUUUUCCUAAUACGUUCCGUAGCCUCUUGCUUAUAGAUAUGGCGCACUACACACCGAUGAUCAAGACUCUACGUAAUGCGGCUUGUCAGACUCCCUAGGACUCCUUGAACCUUAGGCACUCUGAUACCAAGCUUGUAAUGCCCCGAGAACCUAUCUCGAGACAUCACAUGGUUCUCAAGGCCAUGUGGCUAACCCUCUAAGCCUGUCAUCACCUUCAGAACUCUCUACGAUAUGAAUCAUUAUAAAGUAGGGAAGAAUUAUCAUGACAUGAACAUACUGAGAUACGAAGUAAUACGGUUCUGUACAAAUAAAUUACUAAAAUCUCUGUACAUGCUAGCACACUAGUUUGACAAAGCCUCUACUUCAUAGGACUAAUGAGCCAUUGGGACAGAUCCCUAACUGGCUCGUACUGAACUGAAAGUAAACAAUGAUCUAUUAACAAGAUAAAAUCAGAGACACAGGUCCUCGAACCAUGAGGACUCACCAACCGCAGAAAUGUAGAUGAAGGUACUCAAAGAUCACCGUCGUUGCUGAAACUGAGCACCUAAACCAAUAUCAUGAGGAAAUAUAGAAUAUAAAAGAGUAUAGGAGUCAGUACUUGGGAAUGUACUGAGUAUGUGGGGGUGGAUGCAACAUUUUAAAUAAUAUCAUAAAUGUAUAAAAAAAUCAUGCAUGCUGACAAUAAUAACUCUCUUCGCUUGAAUUAUCCAAAACAUCAUUUUCGUAAGUCAUCAGCAAUAACAUAUGCUUCAUAAAUCUCAUAAACCAUUUAACUCAAUUCAAACUUUUGACUCAUGACUUAGAGUGACUUGGUAUCUCAUGGUACUUAGAUAAUUAUGGACAUGGGAGUUUCUUAUAACUGACAUAACUAUACCAUGUGAGCCGCAUGGAGUCCAAUAUUUUACCUUCCUAAGGAGAGAACCCCACAUUGGCGGGGGUGUUAUACUCUUUCCAGGGAGUAUAACCUCAAUCUCAUUAUCACAAUCCCAUACUCGGCCUAUGGCCCACAAUUAUCAAUAUCAAUCCUAUAGUGGCACGUAGUUUUGGGAAAAUACCACAUUUCUCGCUCGGUGCUAAAUACUCCUCCCAGACUCAGCUCAGAAUGUGUUAGGAAAUCCACCUUAAUCAAUAUCAGCUCAUGGGUCUAUCAUAGAGACCAAAACAUAAAUAUAUCUCAUUUGUAAAUCAUGAACAACUGUGGAUUCCUAACUCGACUCAAACUCAAAAGAAUUUUUCUCAACAUCAAGUACAUUUGCUUUUCAAAUCAUUUUCAAAUAUCAAAAGCUUCAAGGAAACAUCAUAGGACUCAUUCUUGUCUUUCAAUCUCAAAUAUCGAUAUAUAUUCAAUAGUCAAAUUUCUCAUGGAAAGGCAUAACUCAUGACACUUGUCUUAAAUCGCUUAGAAAUCAUCAAUACGUAAUGACAAUAUACAACUCAUGGAAUAAAUUCUCAUUCCUGCAUCCUUUACUGCACCAAUACGUCUGGUUUGAAGUUGGUUUGGGUAAGGGGAUUGACAUAUAUAAAGAAAUUUGGGUGUAAAUCCACUUGCAAAAUCAUGUAAAUCAGUAAUAGAAAGUAAAUCUUUAGGCACAAGAAUGAAAGGAGUGUUCUUGUUCAAACCCCACAUACCUUAGAUUAUGAUUUUAGAGAUGUAAAAACUUGAUAUAAACAUUUUUAUAGCAUUCUUGAGCUAAAUUUUUUGAUUCCUUUAAUUAGGAAAGCUUGAUUCUUGGAUCACUUUGAAUCUCUAUAGAAGAUUCUUGAAUUUUCUUGGAAAAAGAUUGAAUUUUUGGGUUCUGGAAGAAACCCUGAUUUCUAGAUGUUUCUUGGUAAAGGAAAGGAGAAAAUGAAGGGCUAUUCUCUACUAGGAUAUAUAUAUAAGACCUUAUGGAGGGGGCGUAAAUGACUAAAAUGCCCUUUUGAAAAAGUUGAAAUUCACUGAUCGGGGCCUAUGACGGUCCGUCAAGUCUCCUGACGGUCCACCAGAUCUCCUUCACUCGAGUACCAAAACUGGAACAUUCUGCCUCGACGCGACGGUCGAAGUGAUGGUCCAUCAGGAAACUGACGGACCACCAAGUCGUUCGUCACUCGAGGGCCAGAAACGAGACAUUUUGUCUCGACCUGACGGACCCCUUGACGGUCCUUCAACUCUUUAACGGUCCAUCAACUUGGCCGUCGCACGAUGGCAUGAAAAAGGAGUCACUGCCUUGGCUUGGCGGGGCACUUGACGGUCCACCAGGGAUCUCUGCCAAGUCGACCGUCAAACCUGGGCGAUCCGAUACUGUUUAGUAAAACGACCAUAACUCCCUCGUCCGAUGUCAGAUUCCAAUGAAAUUGGUACAAUGGAAAGCUUAUUCAAUGCUCUACACGAUAAAAUUAGAAAUUAGAGAAAUACAACAUGGUUUAAACAUAAAUCACUUUGAAAGUCAUACAUAUCCACUCAAAAGACGGAUUUAGACUUAAGAAACGAUCGAGGUAUUACAGAUUACAAGUUAAAUGUACUAAAAAUUAUGUAUAAAAUUAAAUAUUAUUAUACAAAUUGGAAUGGAGAGUAAUAGAGUAAUUUCUUACUAUGUCUAACACCAAUAAACAUUAAAGUAUAUAUUUAUAGUUAUGAUCCAUUGUGGCAAAAAGAAAAAAAAUUGUAUUUUUGAAUUUGAGAUAUAAAAGUAAAGAUUUUUUUCUAUCCCUAUUGUCAUUGGGUUAAACCCGAAAAGGGGGGCAAAGAACCAUUCAACUAAAGUGAAUAUGUGAAGAGAAAAAGAAAAAUGUUUUACUUUUGUCAACAGUCAAGUCAACUACAAAAAGCUACUUUGCUUUAUUAUUUUAGGGGAAAAGGUAUCAUUUCCAUCCCAUACUAUACAAGAAAAGUCGAAGCUACACCUAAACUAUAUAAGUGGCCUAUUACACACCUUAACUAUAUAAAAGUGAUAUUAUUACCUCCCGCGACCCCCAUUCUAAGGCGCGUAUGUUACACUUAUUUUAGGCGCGUCCAACCUAUUAAAUAACAAAAGUAAACGGCUAAAAACAUUUAGGGAAAAGACAUCGUUUUCACCCCAAACUAUAGUCAAAAAGUCGAAUCCACACCUAAACUAUAUAAGUGACCAAUUACACACCUUAACUAUAAAAAAGUGAUACUUUUUACUUCCUAGAUCUGACGUGAAAAAUACAUAAUUAUUUAAAUAAAAAUUGAUGCGUUUAAAUUAAAAAUUAAUGCAAAAAAAAAAUUAAAAAAUUAAAAUACUCCUCCCCCAACCCCCAGCAUCCAUCUCCCUACCCCCACCCCAAAACAAUCAUUUUCUUCAACACCCCCACCCCCAAACCAUCAUCUUUUUCAUCACCCCUAACCUGAAAUUCCAACCCAACCCCAAAUCAUCUUCUUCUUCUUCAUCACCCCUACCCCAACCAACACAAUUUCUUCAUCACCCCACCUCCAAAUUCCAACCCCAUCCCUAAAUAACACAAUUCAUCCUCCACCUUUAUCGAAUCAAUGUCAAUUUCACAAUGAACAAAAUCAAAUUGUAUUUGAUGUUUAAAUAGGCAAAACCAAUUUUUAUAAAAAAAAAUAUAAAAUUUUGUAGAAAGGAUGUUUUUCGGUGAAUUCUCAUCGAAAAAGUUGGAUUCAUCGUUGACUUUCUCCUCUCUAUCUGUUAAUUAUUAAUCCAUCCAAAAAUGUAGCUUGCUACCAUAUUAGUUUUUUUUUAAUUAUAGCUAAAAAAACAAAUAAAAAAAGUACGGAAAUGUGUUGGUAUUACCAUUUAAAACACAGAGGCCAACAGUCGAGUGACCAGUUUUUGAAACAAUAAUGCCCAUUAUAGCCGAAUUUUUUUUUCUGUUAAGAAAGGACGAUGGGUUACGGAUGAAGAAAAAUUUUAGAAGAAAUUAAUUGUUAUGGUAAUUUUAUUGGUGGGAUAAAGUUUAUGGUGGUGAAUAUGGUGUAAUGGAGGUUUUGGACAUUGACAAAAAUGGAGGAUUUAGACAUUGAAGAAAAAGGAAAAAAAUUAAAUUAAAAAGAAAAAAGAAAAAAUUAUGAAAAUAAUAAAUUUAUUAUUUUUUCGGAUUAUGUUGACGUGGCAGCGUGUGUAAAACAGCACACAAGUGGUGUAAUGCCUGACAGAGUGUAAAAAGUAUCACUUUUUUAUAGUUAGGGUGUGUAAUAGGUCAUUUAUAUAGUUUAGGUGUGGAUUCGACUUUUCAACUAUAAUUUAGGGUGAAAGCGAUGCCUUUUUCCUUAAUUUUUUGAAUUAUGCUGACAUGGUGCUGACGUGGCAGGGCGUGUAAAACACCACACCACAUUCAAGUGGUGUAAUGUUUGACAGGGUGUAAAAAGUAUCACUUUUUUAUAGUUAAGGUGUGUAAUAGGUCACUUAUAUAGUUUAGGUGUGGAUUAAACUUUUCUUGUAUAGUUUGGGGUGGAAACGAUGCCUUUUCCCUUAUUUUAGACUAGACUAGAAUUAAUACACGCAUGGUCCUAAAAAUAGUCUUCUUUUUUUCCUUUUGUCGCAUGGAAGCUGACGUUGGAGGUGAAAUUUUUAAUUUAUGAAUUUUAAACAUAUGUAUAAAAUCUAAACUUAAGUUCCUGAAUUUUAUCGAACUUAUCUACAAUAUGCUCCACUCUUAGGAGUGUGGGAGGUGGGGUAGGGAGUUGGAACAGGGGCGAAUUCAGGAUUUGAGCUUGACGGGUGCUCCUUUAUAUUUAAACAUAAUAACAAAUAGGGCCAAAGUUUGACAUGUAGUUCUUUAAAAAUUUAAUAUUAUUGAAUUUGAUGCACUUUUACAUUUUAAACAAAAAUAGAAAGUUUUAGAAAAUUAGGAUUUAUGAGAGAUUUGUUUGCUAGAUAGUUGCUACGAGAAAAUGUUAGAUUUAAGCCUAUUUUAAAUUUUAAAUUGCUAAUUUUUAAAUUAAAAAAAUAAGUCAAUGAUUAAAAGAUAAAAGUAAAACAAACAUUAAACAUUAUAUAGUAUUCACUAUUUUUUUCUAAUAUUUAAGAGUUAAAAAUUAAUUAAAUAUAUUUAUGGCAAAACUUUUCUUAUUAGAAAUCAUCAGAAUUUUAAUAUUUUUUCCUAAUUUAAGAGUUGAAAAUUAAUUAAAUAUAUUUACAGUAAAACCUUUCCUUAUUAGAAGUCAUCAAAAUUAAUGACAACUGAUACUUUUUUUCAUUAGUUUAAAAUUCGAAAUCAACUAAAUUUGAUUUUAAGAAGAUUGGAAAAAUCUAAAAAUAAAUAUAAAACUAUUAGAAUAAGAAAAAUUUAAAAAGUACCUGAUUUUUAAAUGUUUUAAGUAUGUAAUAAGAAUGCAAUCAAUGAUUUUGUAAGAAUUUAACUUUAAAAAUAAAAAAAAUAUUUUAAAUAUUAAAAAAAUCAUAACACAAAUAUGAUUCAAAUUGAUGUGUCUCUCUUAGCCUGUGACAACAAGGGAAAGAAGUACUAUAUGACAAACGCAAAAGUAAUGAUCCAUUAAUGAUAUAUCAACUACUUGAAACUUCUGUUGGUAAAACAUAUAUGUGUAUAUGUUUAUGUUUACAUUAUUAUAUUAUAAUGCGAAAGAUUUUUCAAAAGUGAUUUGAACUCUUACACUUUAUUAAAAAUCUCCGCAAUAGGUAAAUCAUUUAAAUUUAAAUAAUUAAAAAUUAUAUAUCUAUAUAUCUAUAUAAUAUAUUAAAAUUGUGAAGCCCUUAGAAAAAUGAUUUGAACUUUUUACCCUUCAUUAAAAUACUCUUCUUUAGACAAAAUUAUCUUUUUACUAUUUUUUAAUUUAUUAUUUAAUUAUUUUAUAUUAUAUUAACUAGACUUCCUAGAAUAUAUGGAACUUCUAAAAUAUAUGUUAGAAGAAUUAAUUAAUAAUUUUAUUUCUGCUAGACUUCCUAAAAUAUAUGGUUGAAAAAUUAAUUAAUAUUCAUAUUAUCUUGUCCUUUAUUAUUUUUUUUUGGUAGUUUCUAUUAAAAUAUUUAAACCUUUCCCGUUAAACACGUUUUUUUUUUGUUUUUUUUUAGCUUUCAAUUUUUUAACUAUCACCAUUUGUGAUUUUGGUUUGUUUCUUGAACUUUCUUUAACCGGUUUCUUUUUGAGUUUUUGAUAUUAAAAUAAUUUACUUUCCCCAUUAAUCUAGAUUAAUUAUGUAGGAGUAAAUUAUGGUCAAAAGGUUUGCUUAUUGGGUGAAUAUGAUUGAUGCUCAUCUAACUUGAUUCGAUUGUAUGUCUAGAUUUUCACUAUUUUUUUUUAAUUAAGUAUUUAAUUAUUUUUUAUUAUAUUAACUAGACUUUCUAGAAUAUAUGGGACUUCUAAAAUAUAUGGUAGAAGAAUUAAUUAAUAUUUUCCUUUCUACUAGACUUUCUAAAAUAUCUGAGACUCCUAAAAUAUAUGGUAGGAGAAUUAAUUAAUAUUCAUGUUCUCUCCUCCCUUUAUUAUUUUCUUGGCAAUUCUACUAAAAUAUUUAAACCUUUCCCGUUAAACACGUUUCUUCUUUCUUUCUUUUUUUUUUAGCUUUCAAUUUUUUAAUUAUCACCAUUUGUGAUUUUGGAUUGUUUCUUGAACUUUCUUUAAUCAAUUUCUUUUUGAGCUUUUGCUAUUAAAAUAAUUUACUUUCUCCAUUAAUCUAGAUUAAUCAGGAGUAAAUUAUGGUCAAAAGAUUUGCCUAUUGGGUGAAUAUGAUUGAUGCUCAUUUAACUUGAUUUGAUUGCAUUGGUGGGUGCUUGAUUUUCUAACUCAACUGCUUCACUAUUUUUGUCAGCAUAAUAGAAUUCAACAUGUGUACAUAUACAUAUAUCUUCUUUGUUGUCAUUCAAAAUCAUUCUUUAGGAUCAAAAUUUUUGCUCAAACAAGAAUUAGUUGGAUCAAAAUUGAAGCUUUGUGAUUACUAUUAUAUAUUUUUUUUAUAAUUUACAGGUCGUAGAUGAAUGUCGAUUAACUUUGAAGAAUUUCUUGUUUAAAGGUUAGAUUUAAAUGUAUUGUUUUAGUAUCUUUAUUAUCUUAUUAUUUUAUUUUAAUUUACAAAUGCUAGAUGAAUGUGGGUCGAUUUUGAAUUUUUUUUAGGUAAAAGUUAGUUUUAAUCGUAUUAUCAUAAUAUCUGUAUUAGUUUAUUAUUUUGUAUAAAUGUUGGUCGACUUUGAGGAAUUUUUUAUAUAGAUAUUCCCAUAUUUGGCUUUGGCCAAAUCAUCUUUCAUAUAUUUCGUAUUGGAAAAAUCCUUUUGGCCAUAAAAUUUGACCAUAAUUUAUUCAUAAUAAUAAAAAGUUUUAUUCACACUAUAAAUCAGUUUUUUCUUGGACAUUUUUGCCCUUUUACCUUAAAAACUAAAUAUAUUCUUCUAUUAUAUUUUCAAUACAUUGAUUAUUGUGAAGGAGUUUAAUUACAAUUAAUUCACAUAUUCAUUGAAAAGUGUUUGCCAAUUUUCCUUAGCCAUUUGAAAAUACGUAUUCCCAUUUCAAUUUUUCUUAGCCAAUUGAAACGUAUUCCUAUAUUCAUAGGUAUAAAUAUUUAUAAUUUUCAAUCAAACGCAUUUGAAAACAUAUGGUGGAAAUUGAAAUAUAUAUAUCUGUUUAGCAGAUGAUCUAUUAAUGUUUUAUAAAGCAAACACUGCAUCCAUAGCACUACUACAACAAGUUUUUAACAAGUUCUCUACGGCUUCAGGACUACAAGCCAACCAAGACAAGAGUUUCAUUUAUAUGUCAGGUGUCAAGGACACAGAGAAACAACAAAUAUUGCAGACUCUGGGCUACACUGAAGGUUCCCUACCUUUCAAAUACUUGGGAGUACCCCUAUCUUCCAGGAAACUAACUGUUGACCAGUGCUACCCCUUAAUAGAUAAAAUUCUUAAAAGGAUAAAAUGUUGGUCAACAAAACUGCUAUCUUAUGCAGGUAGGCUUCAGCUGAUUAAAUCUAUUAUUUUUGGCAUUCAGACUUAUUGGGAUCAGAUCUUUAUUCUCCCAAAAAGGAUUAUGAAGUUCAUAAACUUUCAUUGUAGAAUCUUCUAAUGGACAGGUAAAAUAGGCCCUUCAAAGAGAGCACUAGUCUCCUGGGAGAGACUUUGUAUGCCAAAGGCAGCAGGAGGGCUAAAUAUCCUGCAUAUCUACAACUGGAAUAAAGCAGCUGUUGCAAAACAACUAUGGGCCCUAGCUACAGAAGCUGAUAGUAUGUGGAUAAGGUGGGUAUAUGCCUACUAUAUCAAAGAUGCUGCAGUGAAGAAUUGUUGCAUCCCAAGGAAUGCUACUUGGGUUGUGAGAAAAGUGAUCGAAUCAAGGAAGGCUAUCAUGCUAACACCUGGAUUGCAAGGUAAUCUUCAAGCAAGACUAAGUCAAUUGAUUGUGAAGGACAGAUUUUCCAUCAAAAAUUUGUACCUAGCCAUGCUACCUGAUAUACCAAAAGUUUCCUGGAAGAGUAUAGUACUUCACUUAAGCAUCCACCUGAGGCACAACUUCAUCCUAUGGCUUGCAUUGUUAAAAAGAUUAGCUACAGUUGAUCAGCUAGCAAAGUUUGGGAUUAGUGUUGAUAUGGCUUGUGCAUUCUGUCGUAAUUCUAGAAACACAUGAACACUUGUAUUUUGACUAUCUAAUUACAAGGGGUUUGUGGUGUAAAUUACUUACAUGGAUGGGAAUUCAUAGAGCCAUAGGGACUUGGCAGCAAGAAGUAGAUUGGAUUAUUAGAUAGGCAAAGGAAAGAUCAGGGAAAGGUGCUACCCUUUGCUGUAUGUUUGCUAUGAUCAUCACUAUAGUAUGGAGAGAAAGAAACCAAGUUAGAUUCCAGCAAGGAAGCUUUGUUCCUGAUAGAGUUUGCAAGGAAAUAGCUAUGCACAUACAUAUCCGUGGAAGCCAGUACAAGAAAUGGACUACACACUUGACGCAACUAAAUUCUAUGCCUUGAUUAGUUGCUGUUUUGAUAUUAUUAGGUACUUAGAAUAGCUAUUCUCAUGUUAGAAAACAUACAGUGGCGACUCCAUAGGGAUGUUAGCGUGAGUCCUGCUGAGUUUUCUGUUAGUUUUUACGUUUCUUUGAGAGGCAAGUGGUCAUCUUUGCCUAGUUAUGUAACUAUUACUUGGUGAAAUAAAAUUCUUUAUUUACCAAAAAAAAAAAGAGAAGGUACUUAAUCAUUUUUUUCUAUUUGUAUUAUAUUUUAGAAGUUUUGUACUUAAGAAUAUAAUGAACAUAAUAAUUUAUUUUUUUCAUCCGUUUAUUAUUAUUAACGUUAUAUACACGUGCAAAGCACGUACACCAAACUAGUUUACUAAAAUAUGCUAAAAAGAGAUGCGCCCUGUAGAAAUGCAACAAUUGAUUUAAUUUUCAUUAAUAAAAAAAUAGCGCUUCGAAAAAAUAAUACCUAGGUUUCAUCACAAAAUAUUGCGAAGCAGCAAAAGGAUUUCAUCAAUCAACUUCAUAAAAAAAGAAUUUAUUUUCAUCCAAAAAAUAAAAAUAUGGAAAUUGAUUCAACCGUUAAACUUAAUGAGUUUAAAUUUUGUGUAUCGUUAGUGUAAUAGAUUUUCUACAUCAUCAGGUAAUUUUGAAGAUAAACAUCAUAACUUUAUUAAGUAAUUAAUAACAUACGUUUUUAAAUAUUUCUAAUCUCUAUCUCUAAUCUCUAACCUCUAUUUAUUAUCUCUAAUUUUCAAUAUCUAUCUCUAUCUCUAAUCCCUAUCUCUAAUAUAUUAUAAGUGUGAAAGAAGAUGUUAUUUGAACUUUUUGUCCUUCAUUAAAAUACUUUGCUUUAGACAAAAUUAUUUUUUUUUACCUUUUUUCUUAAUAAAUUAAUAAGAAAUAAAAAAUUUAAAACCUAAAACAUUUAGGAAGAAGUUUAAAUUGUAGAAAAUAAUUAUAUGUCUAUUUUUAAUAAUAGAGGAACAAUUAAUUUUCUUUAGUGAUAAAGAAUUCUUUUAAGUCUAGAAUUCUUGACAAAUAAAUUCGGGUCUUCUCGCUAGAAACAUGGCUUUGUCCUUCAAUCAUGAUCUCACACGGACUGAUUGACUUCUUUUUGGUCCUUGCUUCGCAAAUUUAAGAGUGUUCCUAAAUCAAAUCCACGAUCAAAAUGAGCCCUUUAUCAAUUUAAAAUAACAAAGUAUGUAAGGGCACAAAAUUUUAGUCUUUUUUCACAGAACGUCUGGUAACGACGUCAACUUUUACAAAAGGUAUAACACUCAUAAAAAAUGCGAGUUAUCCAUUUUUAUUUUAUAAGGUUCAAAAUAUAUUUGAGUUAUCUAUUUUUAUUUUAUAAAGCUCACAUAAUAUGUGAGUUAUCUAUUUUUAUUUUAUAAAACACAUUAAAUAUGUGAGCUUUGCAUCUGAUAUAAAAAACUCUUGCCUUUUUCUAUCUCGGUCCCCUCCCCCAAUUUUUCUUUACCCGAUUCUCCUUAAAGAAACAACAAAAUCCUACAAAUUUUCCACUUCGAUUUCCCACAUUGAUCUCCACAAGGAUUAAGAAAUAGAGAGGUAUCAAGGGCUGAGCGUACUUUUCGCUCAAGAAUAAGACAUGGAGCUAUUAAGUGUUGGUGUCGCUUUCCUUUUCCUAGCUCUUUUUUGGGUUCCCUAUCGAUAUGUGUAUGCCUUCGUCGAAGAAAGAAGGGAAAUCACAAGAAAUUUUCAUACAUCUAGGCCUCAUUUCAUUAAUGAAUCAUUCGAGAACGAAUUUAGCGGGACUAAUUAAUCUUAUUUAACCUUAGAUGGGAAUUAGGGCGAAGCCUUGGGCAGUCUCUGCCUUCUUAACACGACGCACACCAACUUGAAGUCUGAUUUGAAAAUCUCUCUCUACCUUCCCUCAAUACAAAUUUUAGUCAAUUUUCAAUCAGUGGUACCACAUGAUUGUAGUUCAGUGCUUGAAAAUCGAGAAAUUGUUACGGUUCAAAUUGAGGAAAUUUUCUGAAAUUUUUGUUACAAUUAUUGGUUCAAAUUGUUUGUUUAGUGAAUGAUGUUGUAAUUGUUGUUUGGAUUUUUCAUUACUAAUUUUAUUACAUUACUUUCUUCAAUGAUUGUUCUUUUCGAGUUCAUGUAAAAGCAUUGCAUACACAUGGUACUAUUGUAAACUAGAUACAACCGUCAUAAUAUACAUCCGUAUAACUUUUGGUAGUUAUUGUGGUUGUAUUGAUUUUAGUUUUACUUUGUUCCUUGUGAUUAAGGACCACUCGUUGCAGCUACGUGAUUGUUGAUACGUAGAUAUUUGAUUAAACACACCGAGUGGCGAGUGCCUUGUAUUUGAAUGAUGUUACUUAACAUGGUCAUCCCUGUAGUUGGUAUUUCAUUUUCAUCUGCCCACAUACGAAUAUGUUUUUUUUCAUUAUUGAAGAACUUUCCAAGUAUGUUAUUGUUGUUGAAUUUUUCAAGAAAGUUGAGGUAAGGUCUGUAUGCACUUUAUCUUUCGUAGACCUUUGUGGGAUUUUUACUUUAAUUAUUGUGAUUAUGCAUCACUUGUUGCAACUACGUAAUUGUUGAUGGUUGUUGAUUCAUAGAUAUCCGUCGGAUAAACAUGCCGGAUGUCUUGUAUAUUUGCAUUUUGAAUGUAAGGAAGGGUUCUAUCUAGGGAGUGGGGAAGACUUUCUAUAGUCACAUAAUUAAUAAGCUUUAUAAAAUAAAAAUAGAUAACUCAGGUAUUAUGUGAGAUUUAUAAAAGAAAAAUAGAAAAUUCAUAUAUUAUGUGAGCUUUAUAAUAUAGGAAUGAGUAAUUCACAUUUUUUGUCAAUCGUUCUGUUAAAAAAGGCUAAAAAUCACAAAAUAUGUGAGUUUAGCCUAUUUUGGUAUUAUUUAAUAUACAUAACAUACUUUGAUAUUUUAAAUAAAUGGAGGACUCAUUUUGAUUGCGGGUUCGUUGGGUCGCUGUAUUAGACUUGACCCUUCUCUUUUGUAAAAUUUGCAUAAAUCCCAACAAGUUUACCUCUAAUUUAUUUCCAUCCCUACUCUUUGCUAAAUUACAAAUAAUCUCUUAUUUGUAAAUUUUCGAUACAUAAUUUUGAAGUUGAGAUACAUAAAUUUUGAACUUAAGAAUGUAACAGUUAAGUACUCCAUUAUUGCUCGGAUACUUACUUAGCAACAGUAUACGUAAUUCUGAAGUUGAGAUACAUAAUUUUGAUUACCGAGAUACAUUUAUAUUUGAAACUAUUUGAUCAAGCUACGUAAUACAUUAACUAGACCAUACAGAGAUAUAUAAUUAAAAUUAGGUAUUCAAAAAUUUAUGAAUUUGUGGAUGUAUCCGGUUAUUUUUAAAAGAUAAGGGACUUAGGUAAUUAAUAGAAGGAAAGUGAUUUUAUGUAGUUUAGUAACGAUAAGUUGAGGUGUUAUGUAAUUUUUCCUUCUCUGUUUUUACUUUGGAUUUUGCGGACUGGGCUUCUAGUCCAAUUUGUUAAUUUUUUGAUUUGAUUAUCAAUAUAAUGAUCCAUAAACCACCAAAUUAAAAUUCCCUUAUAGCCGAAGAAACUUUCAACGUAUAUUGAACCUACAAUAAUUAAAUAAAACACGCUAAAAAGAGAUGCGAGCUUUAGAAAUGCAACAAUUGAUAUAAUUUUCAUCAAGAAAAAAAGCGCUUCGAAAAGACAGUACCUAGGUUUCAUCACAAAAUUCAAGUGUUGCGAAGUAGCAACUGGAUUUCAUCAAUCAACUUUAUUAAAAAAAAAGAAUUUAUUUUCAUCCAAAAAUUAAAAAUAUGAGAAAUCGAUUCAACCAUAAACGCUAAUGAGUUUAAAUUUUGUGUACCGUUAGUGUAAUAGAUUUUCUACACCAUAGGUAAUUUUAAAGAUAAAUAUGUUAACUUUAUUAAGUAAUUAAUAACAUACCCUUUUAAAUAUCUCUAAUAUCUACUCUCUACUCUCUAUCUCCAAUCUUUUAUCUCUAUCUCUAAUUUCUAAUAUAUUAAAACUAAUCUUUAUCUCUAAUCUCUAAUAUAUUAAAAGUGUUUCUAAUCUCUAAUCUUCAACUCCAAUCUCUAAUCUCUAAUCUCUAAUCUCUAAUCUCUGAUCUCCAAUCUCUAAUCUCUUAUAAAUGGUUGAUGUUUGAACUUUUUAUCCUUUAUUAAAAGGCUCCGCUUUAAGAAAAUCACAAGAAAUAAAAAAUUUAAAACCUAAAACAUGUAUAUAGGAAGAAGUCAAAAUUGUAGGAAAAUAAUUAUAUGUCUAUUUUUAAUAAUAGAGGAACAAUUUUUUUUAGGUGUUUUUAAGUCUAGAAUUCAUGACAAAUAAAAUCAAUCUUCUUGCUAGAAACAUGGCUUUGUCCCUCAAUCAUGGUCUCACACGGACUGAUUGGUUUCUUUUUGGUCCUUGCUUCGCAAACUUAAAUGAGUGUUUAAACAAGCAAAAAAUAAACGAAAAAUAUCGUGAGGUUGAUAAUACAAGAGUAUUUUACAGAGGAAAUCUGAAGCCAAGAAUGAUGAAGGCAUUAAUUAGAUGUUAUAUUACUUCCCGUAGCAACACUAAUAGAAAGGUCAUGGAUAUCAAUAGAUAUAUGGGAGUUGAGGUUGUACAACUUUUUUUGAUAUUACAGGAAGUGUAGGGGUGUAGGGUUGCAAGAGUGCUGCUAAUGCUGCAUGUUUUAGUUUAGCAAAUUAUUCUCUUGAAAAAUUGGUAAUUUCAAAUGUUUAUAUAUAAAUAGGGGAGGUGGCAAAUCUUUUUAUUAGAUGCUGGAGUUAUUUGCUUUUGCCAAAUAUAUAGUUGGACAUAAAAUCGUGCUGCAGAAAGAAACGAAGCAAUUAAGCUUUCUUUGCUUUGAAAUUUUUUUGCUUUCUUUGCAAGUUUUAGAUUUGGUUAUGGGAGAAAUAGUUUUGUUAUUGGUUGGAAGAGGAAUUUUGAUUGUUUUAUUUUUUCACAAUAGAACUUUAAUUUAAUUUGAUUCUCAACUUGAUAUGAAAUGCAUGAAUUUGAUUAUAUAUUCUUUGAUUUUACAAUGAGUAGUGUGAUUUUCUAAGUCAUGAUGCUUUAUGUGUAAUUCGUGAAUUUUGAUGGUAAAUUACGGAGCAAAAUAGUGUGUACCUUGGUAGAUUUCUGUAAUGCCCUGAGACUACAUCCUGGGUGUCACACGGUGCUUACGAUCCCAAAGGACCACAAAGUAAUCCAUGACUGGUACCUACUGUGAGUACUGAGUAAUAAUAAUGAAAACGUAUUAAAAUUGAAAAUGCCAUAAGGUUCAUAAAACUGAAUCAAUACUGAGUACAUCUGUAGAUAACUGCUAACUGAUAAUGUCUGAAAGCCUCUAAACAUCUGAAAUAAAAGAGUUGAUGGGAGACCCUAACUAACUCACAACUGUUGUCUAAAAUAACCGAAAUACUGAAAUAAUGCAAAGAAAAAAUAAGUAUCGCAUCCUUGACGGAUGAGGACUCACUACUGUAACUACCGCUAAUCGAUUGAUCUGGCUAAGUAUGGUCAGGAACCCGAGCGUCUGAACCUAUGAUAUGAGACAUCAUAGCGCAAAGAGAGAG
rnacentral:lncRNA from 1 species